rnacentral:lncRNA from 1 species
UGAACUCCACUUUUAAAUAAAAGUUUGGAUUUUAAAUAUUAAAUAUUAAUAUUUUUUAAUUUGCUUUUUUUUUUGCAAUAGCAUUAAAAAGAAAAAAACAUCAAUGAAUUGAUAAGUUAAAAACUAAAAAACAAAAGUAAUGAAUAAAUUAUUAUAUUGAUGAAUAAAAAGUGUUUAAGCACCGGAAGAUGGACAUUAAUUAGUUAGCUUGGUUAUCUUAGUGAUUUCAUUAUUCUUCUUCUUAGGUUUAAGCUUUGUUGAAAUGCCUUCCAUUUGCGCUGCUUACUAGUUAUGUUUUAUCAAAACAUAUGCAAUGAAAAAACUAUCAUUUUAAUACAUUUAAGAAACAUUGUUCUAUAAUAAAUAUUUUUAUUAUAGAAAGUUAUGCACCCAACAGCUGGUUCUCUAGCUUAAGUUAUGCUUAAGUUAGUAAUUUAGCUGGAUGACCACAGUUGUGAAUGAGUAGUUUGAUAGGCUGGUUCUCUAGCUUCCAUGAUCAUCUUUUCUGGAUUCUAUGAAUAUAUUGUUUAUCAAGUUUCUCUGGACACAUAACAUAGUAUCUAAAAUUGGGGAUCGUACAACAACAACAAAGGUUUAAGGAUAGCUACAUACACAAACAUUUAAAUCAUAUGGUAUAACAUCUUGGCUCUUAUAUGUUAAAGAGAUGAUUAUAUUCAAAAUUGUAUAUUGAUCACACAGAAUCCUCUAUGGAGUUACUAAUUAAAUUGCAGAUGUCACUGCAUAUACCCUAAAAGAGNNNNNNNNNNNNNNNNNNNNNNNNNNNNNNNNNNNNNNNNNNNNNNNNNNNNNNNNNNNNNNNNNNNNNNNNNNNNNNNNNNNNNNNNNNNNNNNNNNNNNNNNNNNNNNNNNNNNNNNNNNNNNNNNNNNNNNNNNNNNNNNNNNNNNNNNNNNNNNNNNNNNNNNNNNNNNNNNNNNNNNNNNNNNNNNNNNNNNNNNNNNNNNNNNNNNNNNNNNNNNNNNNNNNNNNNNNNNNNNNNNNNNNNNNNNNNNNNNNNNNNNNNNNNNNNNNNNNNNNNNNNNNNNNNNNNNNNNNNNNNNNNNNNNNNNNNNACUCUUGAACAACAAAACAGAUCCAUGCAUAAUCCAAAUAUAAAACAAUACCAUUUCUAAUUUUUGGAUUGAUUUCCAUAGUGAAUCUAAUUACACCAAAAUGAAGAAGUUUGUGAUUGAACAUUGAAAGGCAAUGACACUUGCCAAAUGUUUUAAGCAAAGAUAGAUGUCACAACCCAGUGUGUCUGUCUUCCCAGAGGAUGAAAAGAGAACAUAUAUAUCUACGUACCUCACAAAAUUGCAAUAUUUUCCCAAAACAGAAAAAUGAGAGAUACUGCAUGAACACACUGCCAAUAAGAUACUUACCCAAAAUUGCAAUCCUUUUUUCCUUGCUUAUAUCACGAACUUUUACUGCAUGAACACACUCACUCAUCACAACACUACCAAGAAGAUAAAAACAUGCACAUCACAACACUACCAAGAAGAUAAAAACAUGCUCAUCACAACACUGCCAAGAAGAUAAAAACAUGCAAAGAGUCAUGCAUGCAAUGUGAGUAAUACAUAAAUGACUCAACCUCUCCAUGUCUUUCUAUUGCAUUGCAUAAAUUCUUGUCAAGGAAACUACAAACCAAACUUAAGAAAUGUUUUAAGAAAACUAACAAAAUGAUGAACUCAAGGCAGGGGUUGAUCCAAAAUUUGCUACACCAAAACAAAUCCAAAAUUAAUUCACUACUAGAAAACUAAAGAUCAAUAAUUCUCUCCUUAAUUUCAAUUACACCAUGUAAAAGGGUCAAAUUUCACUAUGAAUCCAGGACUGGUAAAAGCUAAGAGAAGCCUAAAUUACUUAGAAAUGGACAACUUAAAAAAGAGAGUAAAAAUUGCGAAAAAAAAUGCAUAAGGGGCAAUAGAGAAAGAAGCAAGAGUUCACUGACAAGUGGCAUGGCUGAACAGGGCAAGAAACAUAAACUUUUAAUGGCCAUGAUAUAUUUUCUUUAUCUUUUUUUCACAAUUAAUUCAGUACUUCAUAUUAAGUAGUUAAAAAUUCUGCCAGACAAAUCCUCCCCAAAUUACACGACCUCUAAACCCACAAGAACUGCCAGACUGCCAGUCAAACUACAAGGUUAGCAAUGAAUCCAACCAAAACUUAGAAUCCAAACAAGAAGUUUAGUCAGUCACAAAUAAAGACUCAAGAAUGGUAAGGGUAACAAAACCUAAAGCUUCACAAAUCCCCUGGGAUGUGUUUCCACAUCUUACCUCACAUAUCAGUCUGGAAAAAUAUGCUCUAUCUACAAUGUUUCAAAUAAAGGGGAGACAUCUUCCCUGAGCAUUUUAUUAUUACUAACCUAUGAUUUGCUAAAAAGAAUCAAACAAAAACAAUAUUCAAAUUUAUGUUUUUUAAUCCCUGCUGAAAAAGAACUAACACAAAGUUACAUAUGAUAGAUUUUUGUCAUCAAAUAAAUAACUACAUCCAAACUCAAGUAAGCAUCUCCUUCCAGUAUUUAGAUCUCCUACCUCACAUCCGUGGCUUGUUUUUCGUGUACACUAGCAGAUUUUAAUCCUUAACCGGUUUUACAUGCUAAAAAGAAAUGAACACAAACGAAUCAACACCUAGACAUAAAAAAUUUAAGAACUAUAUUUAAAUUCAAAUAGAUAUUGGUAAUAAAGACCAAGAAUUUAAGAAAGCAUAAGAUGAAUUGAAGGAAUAAAAAAACCAGAGAAAUUCAAAUAGUCAGUCCCAGUUAAAGACAAAAAUAUGUGUGGAUGCAAAGAAGAUCGAUAAUCAUGCAACACAAAUUAGGCAAGAACAUUGUUCCUUUGCACGAACCAAGUUCAAGUUCAAAAUUCAUUUGUCAAUGAAAGAAACUAAUAAAGUAUAUCUGACAGACACAUCAUAUAUUACAAACUUCAAUAAUCAACAAGAACUAUAUUCAAAUUUAUAUUUUUUAAUCCUCAACUGGAAUCAUGUUGAAAACGAACUAACGCAAGCACAUAAACGGUUACAUAUGAUAGAUCUAACAUAAAAUAAAUAACUACAUCCAAACUCAAGUAGACAUUUGUCAUGAAAGAAAGACAAAAAAUGUAGGAUAACAAAACCUAACGCAUCAAGGAUCUCCAUCCAGUAUUUAGAUAUCCUACCACACAAAGAAAUCAACACCUACACAUACAAAUUUUAAGAACAAUAUUUAAAUUCAAAUAGAUAUCAAUAAUAAAAACCAAGAAUUUAAAAAAGGAUAAGAUAAAUUAAUGAAUUCAAAAACCGGUGGAGCCUUAGUUGCUCAAAACACGCACGAUGAGGUAGAAGAUUCAACCCUUAGGCCUUAUAUAACAUACUCCAUGAUAUGGUGCAGGGCAUUAAGUGAAAAUAAUUCAAACAUCGAACACAAUUCAAUCCUUGGAGAUCAAGUAGAGAGAAAUUAAACAAUAGAGAGGAAACUCAUCAAGAAAUUAGGAUAUCCUGAGCUGCAGUCGUUUUAAACUCUUUUAGAGUUUAGGGUUUCAAAUAUCAAGUAGAAAAAAUUCAAUCAUCGAACACCAUUUAAUCCUUGGAGAUCAAGUAGAGAGAAAUUAGGGAAACAAAACAUAAUACUUCACAUCAUGUCCUACACUACACCACACAUCCAUUGCGUGCUUUCCCUGUACAGCCCAAAAAUUCAAGAAACGAAUUAGCUGUACAGCCAAAAAUUCAUGAAAACGAAAUAACCUCUUAAUAAAAAGAAGUAUAGAAAAAUGAUAAAAAUGAAGAUGCAGAUGCAGAUAAAGACUAAAAAAGACUUGGACAGUUACACAACCAAACACCACUGCAGACAAACACCAAUAAACAAAUCAUAAUCCAAUCCUUAUUUUCGGUGAUCAAUACCAGAUAAAUUAAAUAAUAGAAAGGAGACUAAAACAAGACUUGGAUCAAUUGGCCUUUCUAAACUAUUAUGUUUUUCAUUUCAUCGAUAGACAAAACAAAUCUCAAAACCAAGUCACCAGCAGAAAAGGGAUAAAGGAAUUUGAUCAAAAGAUUCAAAACUUGCCAUCAUCACAAAGAAUCACAUUCGGCGUAAAUGAAUCACAAUCCAAUAAAAGCACAUUAAUCACUUACAAAUAAUUUUUCUAUCCCACGACGCAAACAUCAUGUAAUUCUACAAAACCUUAUAGAGAAUCACAACAAUAACCGAAGCAAUACUAACAAAACUGAUCUUGGAUAUAUAUGUAAUACUAACCAAUGACUAAAUCUAAUAACCCAGCAACCAGAAACUAAAUCUAAUAACCCAGCAACCAGAAACACAGUGUUAGGGUACAAUCGAGAUGGAUUGAAAACGAAAGGAAAUGCAAAACUUACGAUGUUAGGGCACAAUCAAGAACACGGUCGUACUCCGGUCGCAAUGCUUGAAUGCUCAACAGAGAGAGUACUUCGGUCGCAAUGCUUGAAUGCUCAACAGAGAGAGUACUCCGGUCGCAAUGUGAGAAUGUUGUUGAUGCUGAGGAAAAGUGGAGUGAAGUGAGUAUUGCAUGGAGAGAAUUGCUUCAGAAUUGAAAAAUGAAAGAAGAAAAAGAAAAGAAGGGAUUAAAGUAAAGCAAAAAUAAAAAUUAAUUAUUUGUGUGUAAUUUGCAUGGGCUUAACCUUCUUAUUAUUUAAAUUUAAUUUUAAAACUUUUAACGUGGGCUUAACCUUCAAAUAUUUAAAUUUUAAUUAUUUUUAUAAUUUUAGUAGCUGCCAUUUCAACAACGCAACCAUUAUUAUUAUUUUUUUUUUGAAGUUUACGUGAGAAUAACACACGCUUUCCUCACACCUUAUUUAAUUUAUUUUAGGUUUAAUGGAUACUAUAUAGUGUCCACUUAUGGCCUUCAAUAUUUGUUUGCAGCUAAAUUAAGAUUUCUUUGUAAUGAAAUAACUUUUUUUUUACCACCAAAAGGAAUUUAGAAAAAACGAGAAAUUGAACAAUAAGAUGAACGAUGUGAUAAAGACCAAAUAAAAAUAUAUUAAGAAUAAAAUCAUUUUAGUGUUACUUAUAAAAGAAUAGUACACAUCAGAUUUCUCUGGUUACUGAUAAUAGAAUUUAUAUAAUAAAUAAAUUAUUCAUACGAGAUUACAUAAAACUAACUCAAAUUUAACCAUAGAUUGAUGACAGCUUCAUAUAUUGGAGUUUUUUUACGUGAAUUUUUUAUUAUUAUUAAGACUCUUAGGACCAAUCAAACAAUAGAACACAGUUUGAAGAGUCUUAUCAUGUACGCAACGAAGUACCAAAUAAAAUUUUGAGAUGUGUUACAACUAUACCUGGUAAAAGUGGGAUAGUCCAACCUCAUUAAACUCUUCAAGAAAAAAAUGUGAUCAUAUAGACUACUCCAUAAUUUCAACAAACACCAAUUUUCAGGUUUAGUUCCAUUCUAUAUUAUAACAUUUCAUUUUCACUUAGAAAAAAUAAAUUCACCUCCACACUUACAACUUUAUCUACUUAAACCAAUUUAAUCCAACUACGUGUUAAGAAUAUAAGUAUAAAUUUGAGUCUCAUUUAAUAAAUAUAAGAAGUUGAAUAACAAAUAACUAUGAAUAAAUAUAAAAAGUUGAAUAACAAAUAACUAAUCUUAAGUUUAGCACAAAACACAAUUAGUUCAACUAAAAACUUACAAAAAAUAUUGGAAGCAUCAAUGGAGCUUAUUGCAAUAAAAAAAAAUCUAAACAAAACAUUGUUUUGUUAAAAUGUGCAUCUAUUAGUUAAUAAGUUUAUUAUAAAACUUGUAUUGAUUUUCAUUUUCACUCAAAUUAUUUUAUUUUUUUAUAUCUUUAAUCAUGUAACGACAUGUUAUAUUCUUUUGUAGGAUAUCAUAUGAACCCGAGGGAUAAUUAAGACAAAGGUUUGGAUUUCUAAAAAUAAUAUUAAUAAUGCAAAUAAUAUUAAUAAUCUAAAUAAUAUUUAUAAAAAAAUUAUACUAGACAUUACAAACAUCUCACUUAUAUUGACAUUUCAAAUUUCAACCACCUCUAUUGAAAAAAAAAAUUAUUAAACAAGUAAAAAAAAAUACAAACAAGUACGAGAAAUUAAAACAAAAUCCAUACUAACCAUAAAAUACAUCAAAACUAAACAAGAGAAACAUAGUUAAUUUAUACCUAUUAUGGAAAAUGUUCAAGAAUAUAUUAAAAUAAUAUAUUAAAAUACAGUCUAUUAUACCAAAUAAAGUCUUACCUAUAAAGAAAGUCUAAAUUGACAGAUUUAUCAUUACCCCUCUUAAAAUAUGAAAGACAUACUUUUACAAUAAAUAAGACAUUUAUUUCAUUUAUUCUUAAUAAAUCAUCAAGUCACAUGAGUCAUAGAAGGAAAAGCAAAGCAAACUAAUAUGAUUCACACUCUUACCAUAAUAAAUUAUAAACCAAUGUAAAUAACAUUUAAUGAGGGAUAAAUUUUUUCAAUAAAUAAUAAUAUUUUUUAAUUUAUUUUUAGUUAUUUGUGAAUCUCAUUUCGAUUUGAUAUUUAAUUUGAGUGUCAUAUUGUCAUUAACCAAUAUUUAAUUGUUUUUUCUCUUAUUCUAUUAUUGUGUCAUUCCAUUUGGAGCAAUAGAGGGGCUAGUUUAGUGUAUGUGUUGGCAUUUGAUUUGUUCCUUUUCGGUAUGUUCGUACAAGGUAAAAUCGUAAAAAGGAAAAAUUAGAAAACUGUCUUGUUAGAGUAUUGUGUUAGCAUAAUAUUGAUCUCAAAAUAAGGUUAUUUUGUAUGUUAUUGUUUUAUAAAUCUCAAAACAAAUUUUGCAGGUUCAAGAAAAAGCUUUGGAAUAUGGAAAUUAAAUAUAAAUAUUUAUCAAAGAAUAGAAAAAUACUUCAAGUUAGCAUGUUCCUCAAUUGGAAUAUCGAUCUCAAAAUAAGUUUAUUUUUGUACUUCACUAUUUUAUAAAUCUCAAAAAAAAAUUGCAGGUUCAAGAAAAAGCUUCGGAAUAACAAAAUUAAAUUUAAAUAUUUAUCAAAGGAUAAAAAAAAAAUUAAAAAAAAAAUACUACGAUCAAGUUCAUUUUCUUGAAAACUUUACGAGCUCUAAAAUAAAUAAAAAAUACAACUAAUUAUUCAGAAAUUUAUGAACUUGGAAAUUUUUAAUUUUCAUUAAGAAUAAUUAUUUUUUAUGAUAUGUUAUUUGCAAUUAAUUAAUCUAGUAAAAAAUUACAAUCAAAUAACGAGACUAUUGAUAAAUUAAAAGGUAUUCGUUUAUUUUAUUUCUGUAAAUUAUAGGAAAAAUGAAUUUGAAAAUGCAUUGUCUUCUGCUAAAGAAAUUGCUUUUGAAAUAGAUACAGAGUAUAAGUUAUGUGAAAAACAUGGUAGAUCUGUUGAUAAUAUAAGUUAUGUGAAAAACAUGGUAGAUGUGUUGAUAAUGAAAUUCUAAAAUCUCCUAAAAAAUCAUUUAGAUUUUAUGACUUUCUAUACAUUCAAAGAAAACAAUUAACUCCAAAGUUGAUUUAAGAAUUCAAAAUAUAAGAAAAUAUGAAAAAUAUUUGAAGAAUAAUUUCGUGAUAUUGAUGGAUUAUAUUUAUUUUCAAAAUUUAAUAUCUUAAAAGAAAUGACAGAAUUGAAAAAUAAUAACUAAUUGACCUUCUAAAUCAUAUAAAAUAAAUAAAUUAUUUUCCAAAUAUAUAUAUAAGAGAGGGAUUACAGGUAAUAAAAUAAUAUAAAUAUUCUAGUACUACCAAUAUAAUCAAGAAAUUAAGGUGAAUGAGAAUUUAUAUUUUUUUUCUCCAAUCCAUAAAGAAAUGUUUUAAAAAAAAUCAUUAUAAAAGAUCGAUCUAUUAUAAAGUGGAUUUUAAGCUUAACUCAAUCCCAUAAAACUGGUUUAAUCCCAUAAAACUGGUUUAUAGGGUUGAGGAUUGCACCCACUUAUAUACGAUGAAAGACUCUAAUCUCUAGUCGAUGUAGAUUCCAACAUCAACCUCAAAUAAUAUUUCUUGUAAUUAAGAUCAAAACAGUAAACGAUUACAAUAUCGAUUGAUUUCGUUGAAAUGAUUUUUUUAAAACUAAAAGUUACUUAAUAUUAUCAACGAAACCCGAGGCUCACCUCUCCUUUGACCAUGUUAAUUCACAAUCUCUUUCACUAUGCCAUUAAAUGAGUUUGGAACAAGUUUUGUCUUUCUCACCGUCGUCAUGCUUCCCAAGGACCCAUUCACUUAACUCUUCGUGCGUUCCAAUGCAAACAAGUCAGGGUUUUGAUUUGCUUCCUACGAAUCCAAAAUUAGUAACUACAGAAUGUUGUUUGUUGUUGACUCUACAAAUUUAGGGUGGGAAAGAAAAGUUUAUAUCAUACUACUCCACUUCAUAUGCUACUUCAUUUGAUUUUUUUAUUGGUUGUUCUUUGAUGAAGUUUUUCAUUGCUGUUGAUGUUCUUGGUGGUUCUUUGGUCAAGGUGUCUAUUGCUACACGGUGUGUGGGUGAAUUUGUUGGUGACUAGAUUUUUUUGUUAUCAUGGGCUGGUGCAUAGUUGUACCUUUUUUUUUUCAUUGAAAAUUUAAUUUGUAUGGGUGAAAUCUAAACUAUAAAGAUGAUGAAAUUUGCUAAUUCUAGAAUACGUUGUGAUUUUGCAACUAUUUUAUUUUACUUCUACUAUGUGUGAAUUUAGUAAGGUUGAAACCAUCUUGAAAUCUUUUUUAUAUUUAUUUAAACUAUGAUUUGACUCUCGCUAUUUGUUUAUAUUUUAAUAUUAAUUAGGACUUAAUCCUCUUUAAGUUAGAGUAUGUUAAGGUUGCGACCUCUCUAGGUUAGAGUAAGCAAGGUCUUGAUCCUCUCUCUAAUUUAGAGUUAAAGUUUUCCAAUUUCCAAUAAACAACUCUUUUACGUUGUUAAGCCCACUCUAUUAACGAGAGUCCAAUCUACAUUAUUAGUUUCCACUUAGAGAGGACUUAUGAUUGUUAUAGGUUGACGUAAAUAAAAAAGUCAUUUUCAAUCCGUUCACGGUGUAUGGAACACUAUAUGUCCACAUUAAUUAUAAUGUAACGACUUCUUUUUCAAUUUUAGUCCAUCUUUGACUCAUGCUAUAGACAUUUUUCUUGUAAUUUGAUAACUUUGGAUAUUAGAAUGAGAAAUUUUUCUCGGUCAUCAUCCACUGAAUUUGAGUGUUGGAGUGACUAAUAACUCAAUUAAGGGAAACUUCAAAAUAUUAAUUCAUAAAUCACAUUUAUUAUAGAUAUAAAUGUAAAUUUGAGAAUAGGGAAUUAUGAUUGUAUUAAAAAAUAAAUAUUAUUUGUGUGUUUUUAUAACAUGAUUGAUAAAACUUACGUAACCAUUUAAAAUUAAAGCGAAAUAGGAUUAAUUGAGAAAUGUAUCGAUUAGCACAUGUAUGUUCUUUUCAACGGCUUUGGUGACCUAAUUAGAAAACGUCAAACUAUACUGGCAACCUAACUGGAAAACUUCAAACUAUACAGCCAUUCCAUUACUUGUGGAGUAAGGCAAAAAUGCCUUUGUGUUUACUUUUCUAGUAUACGUGCAAGUGUACAGGUCCACUAAUUUCGCAUAUGGUUCUUUCAUUGGCUUUUUAUUGAGUAUAGAUAUGAAAUAUAUUUGGUCCACGUCAAAAAGAAAAAGAAUUGAAAGCGAAACCAAAAAGCGAAAAAAAAAGUAGAAUUAGAAAAUUAAAUAAAUGUUGAAGUUAUUUGAUAAAAUAUAAAUAAUUAUGUUUUCUAUUUCAUUUCUCCUAUUGCAUCAUAUCACGUGACCUAUUUAUAUUCAUAUUGAUUUACUAGGAUUAAUAGUGUUGGAAAGGAAAUAUCAAUUUUGUUUCUUCUACAACUUAACAAUUAACUUAAAUGCUUGUUUGGUAUUGUUAUAAAUCUGAGACUUAGACUGAAAAGUGAAUUGUGAACUUAUGUUUAUUAUUAGAUUAAAAAGUGAGUUGUGAACUUAGGUUUAUUAUUAUAAAUUAUUUAUACUUAUUUUAUUUGUGUAGUAAGUUACGUGUGUUUUUAUUAGUUGAAUGGUGUUGGUUAUUAAUUAUGAUUUCUAUUAUUAAUACUGAUUUCACCGUUAUACCGUUAUUGUUUCAUUAAUGGUUAGUUUACUUAUUUCCUUCCAUUAGUUUCCUACAAUUGGUAUCAAGAGCUAGUCUGUUAUCAUGAACUCUACCCAAUUACUAGUCCUAUGGAAAAAAUUACAAUCAGUGGUGUGUGCAAAUGAGAGUUUUUUUUAUUAUUUAUUAUCAUGAGUUAUGGGAUGUCGUUGAGGGUGGAGUGGUUGCAUUAGCUGUUAAUGCAAUUGAGGCGCAACGAGUAGCGCAUCAUGAUGACAAUAAGGCUUUGUAUCUCAUCCAUAGGGAUGAAUGACAAGACGUUUGAGAAAAUAUAAGGAGCAACAACUGCAAGUGAUGCUUGAAUCAUUUUGUCAACCAAUUAUAAAGGGUGAUGACAAGAUCAAUAGGGUGCGUCUUCAAACCCUAAGACGCCAAUAUGAACUGUUGCAGAUGGAAACCACAUAGAUUAUUGAUGUCUAUAUAAAUAAAGUUCUUGCCUUGACAAAUCAGAUGAAAAGCAAUGGUGAAACACAUUCGGAGCAGGCAAAGGUGGAGAAGAUUUUGAGGUCUUUAACUCCCAGAUUUGAACAUGUUGUUGCCGCAAUUGAAGAGGCCAAUGACAUUUAAAAAAUGACAGUAGGGUUAUUGUCUGGUUACCUACCAGCGCAUGAGCAGCGAAUGAAUGACAAUAAUAUUGAAAAACCAAUUGAACAGGCUUUACAAGCACAAGACUCAAUUGGUAGCUCUUAUCAUAAACACGGUAGUUCACGAGGCAGAGGACGGGGACAUGGUGGUAGCUAUUCCAGCAAAGGUCGUGGUGGCUAGAAUCAUGGAGGCGCUGAGCAAAAUAACAUUGGUUUCAAUCACAUUCCAAGUUCAAAUAACUCUUGACGUGGAGAACGUGAUCGCGGAGGAUGAGGAGGCAUUUAUAAUAAAUCAAAUGUGGAGUGUUAUAACUGUCAUAAACGCAACCAUUAAGCAAAUGAGUGCAGAUCAAAAAGUGAUAAUCAUGCUGCCAAUUGUGCUCAAGAAGACAGUAAUCACGUACAAGAUGAAGAGGAUCAUGCAUAACUAAUGACAGCCACAUCAAAUGAAACUCCAAACAAUCAGACUUGGUAUUUGGAUACAGGUUGCACAAAUCAUAUGUGUGGUCAAAAGGAGUUGUUUGCAUAUUUGGAUGACUCAUUUUGCACAAAAGUGAAAUUCGGUGAUGGCAGGGUCGUUCCGGUGACUGGAAAAGGGCGAAUUCUUAUCACAUUGAAGAAUGGUGAUCACAGGUACAUAUAUGAUGUUGUCUAUGUACCUGAUAUGAAAAGUAAUUUGUUGAGUAUGUGACAACUGGCUGAGAAGGGUUAUGUGAUGUACAUAGUUGAAAAUAAAUUCUCAAUUUUUGAUAAAAAAUGUAGUUUGAUUCUUAAAACCUUUUUAUCAAAAAACCGUAUGUUUCCAGUAGAUAUUCAUAUGGGUGACUUCAAGUGCUUGAAUGCAAUAGUGAAUAAUGAAUCGUGGUUAUGGCAUUUACGCUUUGGGCACUUAAAUUUUCAGAGUUUGGAAAAUCUCUCCAAACGAAAUUUAGUGAAUAGUUUACCCCAUAUUUAUCACCCUGAUCAAUUGUGUGAGACUUGCAUUUUUGGAAAGAAUCACAGGAUACCAUUUGUUAAGGAGCCUUGGCGUGCAAAAUUUCCUUUGGAGCUUGUUCAUAUAGAUGUUUGUGGCUCAAUGAACAUAUCAUCAGUUGGAGGUAAUAAGUAUUUUUUAACCUUUAUUGAUGAUUUUUCAAGGAAAACCUGGAGUUAUCUAUUGAAAAGCAAGGAUGAGGUAUUCCACUGCUUUAAAAUAUCAUAUUUAAAGCAUUUGUUGAAAGACAGAGUGGCAGACAAAUUAAGAUGAUGCGUAGUGAUGGAGGGGGUGAGUACAAGUCUAAUGAGUUCAAGAGGCACUGUGAAGAACUUGGAUUGCAACAUAACAUAACAUGUCUCUACACACCUUAACACAAUGGAGUUGUCGAGAGAAAGAAUAGAACAAUCAUGGACAUGGCGUGGAGCAUGCAUAAAGCGAAAGGUAUGCCAAAUUAUUUUUGGGCUGAGGUCGUAACAUGUGCGGUAUAUUUGAUAAAUAGAUCACCCACUCGGAGUGUUCCUAACACAACUCCGAUUGAGGCAUGGAGCGGAUUCAAACCCAAUGUGCAACACUUGAAGGUAUUUGGGUCUAUUACUUAUGCUCAUGUCCCCAAAGCAGCAAGAUCGAAGUUGGAUGAUAAGGCAGAGAAGACCAUUUUCAUUGGAUAUAAGCAUGGGGGAUACAAAUUGUACAAUCCAAUGACAAAGAAGGUGAUUGUUAGUUGUGAUGUUACAUUUGUCGAAGAUGAGGAAUGGCAAUGGAAUGCAACAGUUGAAAUUGAUUAAAAAAAAACGAUAUAUUUACGUUUUGAACGAUGAUGUGGAAGAUGGAGUCACUCUUGAAGCACCUGCAGUUCAACCAGAAGCUGCAAUUCAACCUGAAGUUGCAAAUCCAAUUGCAACUAUGAUGGAGCGACCAAGAAGGCAGCAACGACAACCUGUACACCUUCAAGAUUGGCGAAGUAAAUCUUGAUGAUGAAGUUGAUGACAAUGGAGAUUUGGUUCACUUUGUUUUUCUUGCAGAUUCAGAACCCAUGAGACUUGCAGAUGUCAUUCAACACCCCAAAUGGCAGAAGGCUAUGAAUGAAGAAUUGAUGGCGAUUGAGAAAAACAAUAUCAUGACUCAAAUUUGUUUUAAUCCAGAUAUUCCAAUUAAGAUUUAUGUUGACAAUGUCUCUGCAAUUAAUCUUGCAGAGAAUCCAGUUUUUCAUCAAAUAAGUAGUCACAUUGAUAUUCGAUAUCACUUCCUGCGAGACCAAGUUAAGAAGAACAUGAUCAAAUUGGAAUACUACAGAUCAGAAGAUCAGAUUGCAAAUAUUUUCACUAAGCCAUUGAAGAUCAAUGCUUUCAUCAAGUUAAGAAAUCUGUUGGGUAGGAAGGUUGCUCCAAAUCAGAAUUAAGGGAGGAUGUUGGUUAUUAAUUCUGAUUUUAUUAUUAUUAAUUCUGAUUUUAUUAUGCUUAAACUAUUUUACCGUUAUUAUUGCAUUAAUGGUCAGUUAGUAUUCCUAUUUUAUAACUUCCAGUAUUUGUAAUUUUAUUAUAUAUAUUAUAUAUAUUAUUGAGUAAAUCAAAAUAUAUGAUACCAGCUCAACAGUUUUGCAAUCUUGUGCAAUUACCUUCAAUCAGUUUCUACAACAUUUUGCCUUCUCUUAUUUCCUUCAAUUAGUUCCUACAAAUGAGAAUAUAAUUAAUAUAAUUAUUUAAUAAGAAACUUAUAUACCACCUCAAGUUAUUUUGGAGUCAAAAUAUUAUAGGAAUGGUUAUCAAUGAAUGAUUUACUAAAAGUGGUAAAUUUUCUUGAGGUUUUAUGAAUGUGAAACCUAAAUAUGUAAAUUUUGAUAGUCAAAAGACUAAUCCCUUUAAGAAUUAAUAUAUUUCAAUAAAAGUGAUUGGAUAUGGUUUUAGUUUGGAGUCAACAACUUAAAGAGACUUGUGUCAAUGUGUAAUCUAUUCUAAUCCACAUAGGUUGAACUCCUAUUAAGGAUACAUAAAUUUUUAAUCUGAUCAACAAGCUAAAGAGAUUGUAUUAAAAAUAUUUCAGUAGUCUAACAGUGGUUGCGAAUUCACGUGAUAUGUGUAGCUCUCAAAGUAAAUAACUUGUUUUCCAAGCUAUCCAAAGAGAUCAAUAUACUUGUCUCCCAAGAGAUUUAUUACUACCCAUGUCAUUUAGACACAAAUAUUUAUGAUAUUGGUAAAAUUAAAAAAAAAUAACUUUACCUACAAAUAGUUAAAAUAUUUGAAAUAAGUGAAGUAAAUGAAUAAUAUAAAUUUAUUCAGAGAUUAUUUAUUAUGAUAAACCUAAUUUAUUUUAAAAGAAUAUAUGACUAAUACAUUUUUUACUUACUCAAAUAUAGUUUAAUUUAUUUUAAAAAAAAUCCAAAAGCUAAAACUUUAGAACAUAAUAUUUUAAAUGUUUUACUUUACACGUGUAAUCCUUAACUAUUUAAAUGUUAUACAAUUAUUAUAGAUAUAAUAACUAUUUUAAAGAAAAUAUUUUAUUUAUUUUAUACAUUUUUCUUACAACAACAAAAUAAAAACCAUAGAUAAAUCCCACUCUUUUAGUGUUUUUUUUUUCUUUCUCUUUUCUCAAUUUGCCAAUUUGCCGUCAUUGUUGAAGAUCUCACCCACUAAUCAAAGUCAUAUUUGAUGUGAAUGUUCUCUUCAAUUCAAAGUUUAUCUUAAUAUUAUGCUAAACUUAGACUUAGUCUAAACCUUACUGACUUGAUUUCAACUUUUCUUUAUAUUUCUUCUUUUUAUACAUAACUUUUCAAACUUUUAAUCUUACACAAAAAGCAUGUCAUUCUUCUCUGACAACAUUUUAUUUCAAUUUUUCUUGAUGGUGUGCUUCAUUUGAAAUUUCAUUUUACUUUAUAUUUCAAUUUUGCUCAUAAGUUAUGAUUGGAGUUUAUUCUAAUUUUUUCCAGUGUCUUAAUAUUUUUCCAUAGUGUGUUUGAUUUUUUAAUUUUCUAUGCAAAAAUUAGUGUUAAUAAUUGUGUCUAACUUUUCUUGUACUCUGUCCUUUAGUUUGAAUGCUUCAUCCUCUGUUCUGCUUCUAAUUUUUCUUAUAUUUUAUCCUGUGUUUUGAAUGCUUAAACUUUUACACUUGUUUUAACCUGUUUUGCUAUUAAUUGUUGUUUACUUGUUGUGAUAUAAGGUUUGCGUGAUUAGUUAGUUGAUGGCAUACAAGUAAUGAAGAACUUUUAAGUAACACAGUUAGUUAAUACUCAAUUAUUAAAAUAUUGCAAGACAUUUCUUAAAAGUGUUUUAUGUUUUAUGUAAUUGUAUUUACCUAUAAUGAAGUUGAUAGCGAAAGAAAUAUUUAAUACUUUUUUUUUCUUUUUUUUUUCUUUUGGAAGGAAUCGAGGGAUACAAACUAUAUCUUCAUAUAUGGAAAAUUAAUUUAGUUAUAUCAGUUGCUAAGUGAAGAUCAAGAUCAUUUGUUUAUUAGUGUGUACGUAUUGAUGUGUUUUGGGAUUAUUAAAAUUUGACGUGUUUGAUAAAGAGUGAUUUAUUCAUAAGUAAACUAUGUUUUGGGAUUAUUAAAUUACGUAUUGAUACUUUUAUUUUCGUGAGGGGAAUGCAUGUGCUGAUAAGUUGACUAAUUUAGGGUUCAUUCAUAGAUAAUCAUUUUAUUGGUAUAAUAGACUUCUAUCUAGUAUGUUCUUAGAAUUCUUUAUGAAUAGGUAUAGUCUACCUAUGUAUCGUUUUUGUUAACAUGUGAGUUUUGGUCUAAUCCUCCCAUAUUUUGGUAUUUUUUUUCUUUUUUUUAAUAAUAUGUUUUUCAUGUGAUGGCAGAUGAUUGUUGUUACUUGAGGUGUCAGCCUAGCUGAGAUGUCAAGUUGCAUAAUGAUGUCUAACAUGGAAAAUUUUAUAAAAAAUAAAAAAACAAAAAAAAACUAUGGUUUUUGUUAUUGAGAAAUUGUUUUUAAGAAAGUGUUGAUUACAAAUUACUAUUUUUUUUAAAAAAAAAUUGUUUUGAACAUCGUAACAUCUUUUUAAUGAAAAAUAUUUAUUGCAUAUAGGGGCUUUUAACAAGUUUGGAAUUGAGUGGAAAUUGGUGUUGGUUUAUGUUGCAAGUUGAUGGUUGAAUCAUAUUCAUAGAUAGAGUUGGUACUUUUUAAUAAUGUAAUUUAGUAUAUUAUUGAUAUUUUAAAAUGAUAAAGAGUGUGUGUAUAAUCUCAAUAAUAUAUGAUUUAAAUGUAUUAAAAAUUGAACUUUAAACAUAAAUCAACUUUAAAAAAUCGACUCAUAAGUUAAGGUUUGCACUUACUUAUAUAUUAUGAAAUGUUUUUAUCUUUGGUCGAUGUAGGAUUUUCAACAUUUCCCUUCACGUCAAGAUCUAUCAAUUCGUGUGUGAAACUAUAUAUUUAUAGGUGGUCAGAUAGCAACCGACCUUAUAAGUCUAACAAACUCUCAUUAGGAUAAACUGUAAAUGACUCUAAUACCAUAUUAAGAAGUGAAUUUUAAGCUUAAUUCAAUUUUAUAAAAUCAAUUCAUAAGGUAAUAUUUACACUCACUUAUAUAAUAUGAAAUGUUUUUAUUUCUAGUCGAUCUGAAAUCUCGAACAAAAUGUGAAAAUAUUCAAUUUUACAAGUAUGAUUAUUAUAAUUAUUAAAUAGGAGAGAUAUGAUUAUUAAGAUCUCAUUACUUGUAUUAUAAAAAAAACCCACGAACUAAAUUUUGUAUUGAUAAAAACUUGAGGAUUGUGGUUGAAAAGGCAGAACAAUUGUAAGAAUUAUCUUUUCAAGCAUAAUACAAAGUAUUUCUUUGUAAUUGAUAAAAAUUUAAACUGACACAUCAAAUAUUUAAAUUAUAUUAUUGAAAAUGGGUUCAUAGAUGAUUUAAAGAAGUAUAUGGUACAAGUUGAAAAUUUAAGAGGUUUUAAAGCAAUAAUAAUCAUAAAAUUUGGAGGAAUGACGUCCAUUCAAAAGUGAUAGGAUGAAAAAAGAAAGACAUGUAUGUUGUUUUAAUAGACUUCCACCAACUAAAUAUUUAAAUAUCUCAUCUCAAAAUUCUAUAACAGAGAAUAAGAUUAACAAUUUAGAAAAGAUUUUUAAAAAUCUUUUAUCUUUUCUUUAGAAAACAUUUUUAAAAAUCUUUUAUCUUUUCUUUAGAAAACAUUUUUAAAAAUCUUUUAUCUUUUCUUUAAACAUGAUGAGUGGUAAUUGUUCUUGCCAACAAUGUGGAAUCACAUCUUCAAGGUAGUCUCCGAACAAUCUUUCGGUAUUGUAGUCCUUGAGUGCUUGAAGAUCACCAAGUGAUGAGGGGAGCUCCACUCGUUGACAAGACUUCGACAAUCAAAUCAGUGAGAACAUUAAAUAUUUCAAUGUAGUAUGUAUUGCAUAGAAUAAUACUUGUCUUUGUUUGGGGACUCAUGACCCUUAUAUAGGACUCGUAGAUCCUUUUUUAGGAGUUUGUAAUCAGACACUUCCUUUGAACUUUUAGUUACACGAUUCGAUUUGUUGGACUCGAUCCGACUGACCCGAAAACGUCUAUUGAGUCCGAUCCAUUGGACCGAAAACACCCGAUCCACAUUAUCGGGUUCUACCCCGAUCUUGACUGAACGAUACAGUAAUAUACAAAUUGUAAAUAAAAAAUAAAAAAUAUAGUAAUUACAUUUAAUCAUCUAUAAAAAAAUUUAAUACUAAUAUGAUAUUUUAAAAAGAUAUUUUUUUCGGAAACACUUGAUGAUGAUGGAAGGAUUGAAAUUAUUCUAAUAGUAAUGUUUAAACACAGUAAAAAAAAGUCAAGUGAUAUGAUAAUGAUUGAAAAUUUACUUUUAAAUACAAUUAUCAUUUUUUACUAUAAGAUCAAUUUUUUUAAUGUGAUUACAUAUAUUUUAUAAAUGAUGUGGAUUUUUAUGGCCUGUACACAUCAUUAAUGAGUGAGAUAAUAUGUUUAAUCAUUUGCCAUUUAAUUUUUAGUACUUUCAAUGAACAAAUGAGAUUCAUAUGUAAGAAAUUUAGCAUCGAUUAUGACUCAUAGGACACAAAAUGUAUUUCAUUGAGUUGAGUGUGGUAUUUCAAUACCUAAUUAAUAUUUUUUUUGUCAUUAGUAAUUUGGUAUUGAUUUAAAAUCGAAAUUGUUGUUGACUAUUAAGAUUUAUUUGCUUUUGUAACUAUUAUGUUUUCCUCUUAUAAAUUUUGUUUAUAUUUUAGAUUAUAAAGUUGUUGUAAAACAUUGCAAAAACUUUUCUUAGUGGUUUUUAUCUAGUACAAUCAUUUAUAUUUUAGUGGACUUUUAUUGAAUUGAAUACACCCUACUCCAAUAGCCUAUGACGAGUCACACAAAUUUCAUUUGACAACAAAGAAUCUAUAGGGACAAAAAGUGGAACUUAUAGAGAAUCUUUAAAUUCAAAUUGAUAUUUUGAAUAAGUGAACAAAAAGUUAAACCCAUUUAUUAUAGCCAUUGUUUCCAAAAAUAUUUAAUAGUGAAUAUUUGAGCAAAUAAUGUAGAAUGUAUUAUAGCUAAAGACAAACAUCAUAUUAUUGUUUGGUACACGGAAAAUGUUAUAUUAUCACAAUUAUCGGUAUAUAUUAAUAAAUUUAUUCUCAAAAUUUUAACUAAUAAAUUUAUUCCACCAUUUUAUACAUGGACUAUAAUGAUAGAUUGUUAAAUGCCCUUAAAAUUUUACAUCACACUUUAUAUAGUAAAAAUAUUAUCAUGAUAUCUAUUACAAUGAAAGAAUGACAUAAACAAAAAUAUUUUGGUAUUAAAAUAUUAACGAAAAAUAAUAAAUUAUAUGGUAUUAUUAGUAAAGUAAGGAACUAAAAAUUAUUGAAGUUUUUGUGGAAUAAACUCAUACGGAAUAAUAUGUCAAAAAAAUUAAUUGAACUUAACAAUUGUUUUUUAUUAGCUAUAAGAAUGAAAUUAAUAAAGAUAUAUAUUUUAGAGAUAUAUUAACCUUAUACAAAAUCAUCAUUAUCAAACUUUCAUCUUGCAUUAAGUCUAUAAUGAUAUUAUACUCAAAACAGAUUAAUCAUACUAAAAACCACAACAUAAUCUAUUAAUCCAAACUUCUUAAAAAUGAUGUUCUUCUCAUAUUGAAUAUAUAGUUUUUAUUGAAGUUAAUAGUAACUCAUCAUGAUUAAAAAACAUGUUGUUUAGAGUUAAUUUUGUUUGAUAGACAAUUAUAUCAUCUAACUAUAUUACUUUAUUGUGUAAUUCCACUAUAUUGAUAUAAGUCUCAAUUUGAUGUACGGGAAAAGAUAGAAAAGAAAGAAAUGGGAGGAGUACAUUUGUUUAGUUAAUUAAAAAAGCUAAAUAAAUAUGUUUAAAAAAUUGUGAAACUGUGAAGUAUAUGAUAAGAAAAUCUGAACUUGUAAAUAUUUAUAACUAAAGUCUGCAAAAAGUAUAAAUAUUUUAAUUAUUUAUUUGUUAAAAGAGUGAAUAUGGAUAUCAUGCUAUUUAGUUAGCGAAUGUUCACUGUCCAUUAUUAAUUAUUUUUAUUUGAAUAUAUUUUUUAAUUAAGCAAUUGAGUAAAAUUAUUAACGAGAAAACAUUAAAAAUUGAUGAAUUAUUUAUAACUUAAUUUUAUAAAUGUAUAGUUUUUAUUUAGACUUGUGGAGCUAAAAUUAUCUUCAAAAGAUUAAUUUUAUUUAAAGUUAUAUUGUGAAGAAUUUUUUUAGAAUGAUUAAUUUUUUUCUAAUAAUAGCUUAUGAAACAUUUUUAUUAUAAUUAUACAUUAAUAUCAAUAUUUUAUCUUAUUUUAUUUUAUGUUUUAAAGAAUAAUUUUUAAAUAAUAUUAUUUUCUUAAAAGAAGGAUCCACGUGUAUCUAUUGAAAUAGGCAAGUAUUUUAAAUAACAUUAUAUUUUUUUAGUAGAAAUACUUCUUCAUAAGAUUUAUUUAUAAAUAACAAGUCACUUUAGAUAUGGUUAUCUCCUACUUCCAUAUCAAUGUAGACUCUUAUAUGUGUGACGUCAUUUAUUAUGAACUUGAAAUGUACUAUCUUAAGUGUAUCCUAUAGAAAACACCAUCACAUUCAAGUCAAAUAAUAUAAAAAUUAAGUAAUAAAUGAAUAAUACAUAUUUUGAGAUCUUCACCAUUAACUUUUAUUUAUAUCGAGUAUCGGUGGUUAAAUAUGACUUUAGUAUUGAGUUAAGAUUUUAAUAAUAAAAAUAUAGUGUAAGGGAAAAUAAUGUUAAUAUUUUAAUACUUUUGCGUGUUGAAAGAAAGAAAACAAAUCUAAAAAUAACUAUAGUUUAAACUUCGUUAAUUUUAAUAAAAAGCAUCUUCAAAACCGUAUUUAGUAGUAUAUAUAAUUGUAUUAUUUCCAGUUAUUUAUUUUAUUUUGUAGAUGCUUUCUAAAUUUAAAGGAAGAACCCAGACUUUAACCAAAACAUAUUUCUAUCCAAAAUAAAUGUAUGGUUAUGGGAAAAAAUAGCCUACAAUUGAUCAUACAAUCCAUUCAUUAAAUAAUGGAGUACAAUACAAUGUGCUAUAAUGAACCCAACAACGUCUUGUUCUAGGUUUUGUAUAUUCAGUCAUUGAUUUCUAAAUUUUUAUAUGAAUGUUUACAAUAAUAUUUCAAGGUCAAGUUAGUACUUCCUCCGAAUAAAGAAUAUAAAGUAAAAAAAGUUAAGAAUUCAUUAAUUAAUACUUAGUUUGAAGAAAAAACAUAUAAUAAAAAGUUAUAUAUUUAUUAUUUUCAAUUCACCUAUUUAUAACGGUAUUCUUCUAGUUAAGAAGAAUGUCUUCCAACUAAAGAUUUAGUUUAGUCAAAAAUAGUUAUUUCCAACUAAAUUGUAGUUCUGUCUCAUACCAUCAUCUUCCUCUUUUAUUUAAUAAUUAUUUCUCUAUUAUAGUAUUUGUCUCAUUCUUAGAUACAUUCUUAGAUUAAUUACAAUCUCGCAUAUUCAGUUAAUGUUUGUCACUUUCAAUAAAAAAAAUAAAAAAAAAUUUCAUUAUUUUAAUAAAUAGAUCAAUAUCAUAACCGUUUUCAUCUAUUAUUGGAAUCGACUUAUGAUCUCACAGUUCUCAAAUUCCAACAUAAUCCAAUGAGACUAAUAAGAUCAUGAAGUAAUUAAUUAUAGGAUGUAUCUUAAAUUUUGACUGAAAUCCAUACCAUUGAGGUUGAUGCAAAAGUUCACAUAUACUAUUAUACCUCAUCUAUAGAAAUGAUUAAUUGAGAUCCAAAUAGACUUAGAUGCGCUUAAUCAUAAUUUAUAUAUUGUUUACUUUACUCUACUUAUUAAUUAUAUUAUUACACCCUUAAUUUCACUUUAGAGAUACUUGCAUCAUUCAGUGGUGAGAUGUUGGGAUAUCGAGUGUGAUAUCGACACCUCAUAUAUUCCGGUACAAUGCAUUUGAGGAAAAUAAAAACCGAUCAUAUGUAUAAUUUUUUGUUUUCUUCCAUGCUUGGUUGUCACUUAGGUCAAUUCAGCACGAACCAACAUACUCCAUUUCAUCUUCUCAUAAAUCGAAGACAAUAAUUCCAGGAAAUGAAAAUGGGGUAUGUUAAUAAAGAAAAAAAAUAAGAGAAAAUUGCACAUAAAUAAAAUUCAAUUGAGUUCUUAAAUUACAAUGAUAUUGAAAAGAGUAGAAAUAUAUAGUUAAUUUGGUGAAUAAACAAAGUAGGUUGGAAAAAUGCGAUGAAAGCAUGAUAAGAUAGUUGUGGUUGUCUGUGGAAAUGCGAAACCCCUCUUUCUUGUUUUGUUUUGCACAUAUUUUACAAGCAAAUCCGACAAACAGAAAGAAUUGCAUAAGUCCAAACCUACUGGUAUUAUUUAGACGUUAAUAAUUGCCAGCUUUUGCCAGCUCCUACUUCAUCAUUAAAAUAUAAUUUAAAAAAAUAGACACAGAAACAGUAGUGAAGACUUUGCUCCUCAGUCCCAAAAAAUGACAACGGGAUACACUGGAUUUCCACACUUUCUCACAUGCUCGUCUUUUUCAUUUUCUGCCACGUGUAUUGUAAUGUAGCAAGGUCCCUCUGGUUCCAGCUGCGCAAACCUCACUCUCUUCCUUCAUCAUCAUCAUCAUCAUCAUCUUCUACCACUACAGCCACAAUAAACAUGCAUACCGUAUUUUUUCUUUUCAAAUAUUAUACGUAUACUUUUUGAUAUUUUAUUUCCGUUUGAGUUGAGUAGUUGUUCUCCAUUUGCAACGGUUACCUAAUAUUAUUCUCUGUUUCCAUCUACCCCAUUAUCAACUACGUAUUGCAUAUAAAACAUUAGCGAUAAUGAAAGAAAGGGUCAUGUAUCUGCUUUCUCAAUCAUUAAUGCAAAAUUACCGAAUUUAAUGAUGUUACCAUUACGAAUGGAGAAAGGGUCAAACCAAAAAUAAAAAGUGCACCUUUUCAACUGGCGGACAAAGGACGAGACACGAGUGGCAUCAACGCGGGUAAAGCACCCCGCGUUUUACUACCAGACGGAACCCAUCAACGGGCUAUAAAGGACACACGUGUGAGUUCUAGAUCAACGGUCAAAACACAAGGGCACUCUAGUAAUAUCGUUAAACGACUUUAUGAGUUGUUGAAAAGUUAUGGUCUUUCCGAGGAAAGAAAAAGUAAAAAAUAAUAAUAAAAAUGGAUUUUUUUUCAUUAUUUUCAUAGUACACAUUUUGUUUUCAUUAAUGGAAUUUUAAAUUGUAUUAUUUUUUGUUGUUAGAACAAACAGAGGGCUAGAGUGAAAAUAAAUUUAACGGGGAGAGGAGAGAGAGUGGGAAGCAUAUGAGAAUAGGAAGAUGGGUGGAAAAAACGCCGUACAGAGGGGUGGCGGAUGACAGCGACUGCUCACUGACCCACAUAACUGACACGUGUCCUGACGCAAAAGGGUGUGGAGGUAAUAUUGAGCAAGCAUAAUGGAGAAAAAGGCAAAGAAGGAACACACAUUAACAAAAAUCAAUUGGGCAGAAGAUCCACAUAUGCCAGCUAAUAUUUUGCACAUUUACAGAAAGAGAGGAAAAAUUGUAGUAGAGGCGGAAGAAAGUUGAAAUGAAGAUAAAAUAAAAAAAAAGAAUAAAGAAUAAAAAAGUGGGAAUGGAGAGUUAAGUGUUGACCCAUUAUUAUUACUCACAUCACACCGGCCUGACCUAGUCCAGGGUAUUAGGGAAGAUGAGGAAUGGGGACAGGCAGCAUAGAAGGAGUAGAUGCACAUCACAACAUAUAAAAAUAUUAAUAUAUAUAGUAAGGUUGGGAAAAUAAUGAGAUAAAAAAAAUUGUGUGUGAGCAUAUAGAAGGAAAUUAAAUUAGGACAUUGGAGUUGGAGGAAUCUUUGAGCAUUAUUGAUGCAUUAAUCGCCACUCCUUCAACGGUUCAUAUCUUACCUCUUUUUAUAUAUUCUGUUCCCUUAUCAUCUUCCACUGCUCAACUCUCUCUCUCUCUCUCUCUAACACAAGCUUCCGUUUUUCUGUUUCUCUUCUCUCUACUCAGAACAUGGGUUCUUCUGCAGUACAAUUGUUUCUCAUCUUGGGGCUUCUGGCUACUUCUUGCAUAGCACAAGCCCCAGGUGGCGCACCCACGCAGCCUCCCACAACCACCCCACCACCACCGCCCGCAGCAGCACCAGUACCUGCACCCACUGCACCCGCAACUCCACCACCAUCUUCACCACCACCUGCACCCACACCCGCACCCACACCAACUGCUCCCACUCCUGCUCCAGCUUCUUCUCCUUCAUCUGCUGCAUCUCCCUCAGCUGAGUCACCAGGCUCUCCUACAUCUCCCCCAGCACCACCGGCCCCCUCAUCUGCACCUUCACCCUCAGUCAGCGAACCACCACCCUCACCCUCCUCCGCAUUCUCCGUUGGCAAGGCCUUCGUUGCCGGGUCUGCGCUCGCGGGAACCUUCGUAGCCAUGGUCUUGGCUUGAAGACAGACCUGACGGUUGGGAUUCGUCCACGUGGAGGCUCUUGGGCCCUUGAUCUUGUUUUACAGCGACGGACGGACGGACGGGAUCUGUUUCAUUUAUUUUAUCCUCUGGUCUUGUUGAGUAGCGGUUUUCUUUUUCUCUCUUUGGGGUUUUAUGUGUUAGUUUUGUUCGUUCGUGGUUGAUGUGUUUGUUGAUUCGAUAUCUGGGAGGGUUGGGUGUUGAUGAUGAUGAUGAUGAUGAUGAUGAUGGUGAUGGUAUUCAUGAUUAUGAUGAUUAUUUUGUGAUUCAUUGUUCUGGUGUUCACACGUGUACGUAGAUGACCUUGAUGAUUUCAUUGUACAUCUAAUAAUUGAAAGAAUAAAACAGUUUGUCAUUCUUUUUACUUACAAUCUUGUUCCUUGUUAAUGUGCAAAACCCUCGUUUUUCAGAGCCACCACCUCUAACUUCUUCUCAUUCUGGAAUAUAUGCAUAAUUAUUCCGACUUCUACACAUUAUACUCCACUUUCCUCCUUUUUCAAAUUACUGCUUUAAUUCGACCAUAGAUAUACUGCCACGUCUUUUAAAUUCAAAGCAUCUUUUUCUGCUUUUCAUUCAGACCACACAUCCAAGACCAACCAAAUUUUGUCCUCUCAUUUACAAUUUUUUAUUCCUUUGCAUUAUGUCAUUACUCCAUAACUUGAUAUUAUUAUUAUUAUUAUUAUUAUUACACUCUUAUUUCUUAAUGAAGUUUCACACUCAAAUCUCACUAAUGCAAUCUACAUUUACCAUUUUACAUUAUCGAUUCAAGAAAAAUAUUUUAGAUUCAAGCGUUUAAAUAUUAACAAAUAAUCUUUUGGAAAAACAAGAUUUGCUUAUAUUCUUCACAGGGAAUUAACUUUUUUUAUGGAAAUCAUUCCACUUUUGCUAAUUCGACAUUUUAUGAGAUGCUGCGAUAAAUCAUAAAACCUUUACCUACUUUUAUGUUAAAAAAAGCUUUUUUUUUCCUUAAAAUUAGAAUGGCGUCAUCUUUUCCAUGUGAGCGUGUUGAUGAUGAAAGAAGGUUCUAGGUUGUUUUGUAAAGAACGUGGGUUUCCUCGUCUUUUCCUUUCAGUGUUGUGGAGAUUUGUUUAAUGCCCUGUCAAUUCCGCAGGAAAUUGACAUGUUAUGCGACCUUUUUCCUAAAUAUAAUAGUAGUAUAAUAUUUUUUUAUGUGAAAGUUCCUAAAUAUAAUAAUAUUAUUAUAUUUAUUAUGUGAAAGUGAGAAGCACGUAGUAGGAGAUAGAUGCCUCCAACAAGAAUUUGUAUUAUUGCAAGCAAGGUGGAUCUGGUUAGCAAUUGGUUAAACUGCUAACCCCUCACUCACUUCAUUACAGGAUUAGAUCCACGUCUUUGUCACAGGUAAAUAUCAAGGAGAACCUUUUUUUUAAAUUAAAAAUUAUUUUGGAAAAUAUUAUUAAAAAAAGUAAGAUGUUUUCAUGUUCUCUGUUUUCUUUUUCUAUUUUUAACUAUUUUACUAAAAUAAUGAAAAUACAACUUUUAAAAAAGGCUAAUAAAACAAACACUUCCCACUGUACUUAGAAAACAAGGAAAAAUUUAAAAUAAAAGGAAUACUUUUGAAAACAAUGGAUAACAAAGUUUAAGAAAAGUUAGGUUAUUUGAGUUAAGAGAAAAAAAAAUCCUAGAAAAAGUUUGUAAAAAAAGAAUUUUAUAGGAUCUUAAUAUAUAUUAUUGGUUUGUGUUAGUAAAUAUGCAUGAUCUUUAUUUAUUUUUUACUUGUUAUUAUUAUUUUGAUUAUAUUUAAUUCUAAAGUUUACUUACACUUAAAUUUAUUAUAAUUUAGUUUAAUUAAAAUAUUUGAAAAUUAAUGAUGGUUUGUCCGCUCUAUUUUGACUCAUUUCAAACUUAGUUAGUAAAAAGUAGGUUGAAUUAGUCCGUCUUACAUAAAAAUUGUAGAUUAGUUUUGGUAGGUCAUUCGCGAUCCAAUCUACAUAAACAAAAUCUUCACAAAAUACCUAUAUGUGAAUGUCUCGAGAAUAAUUUUAUUUUAAUGUUUCAUAUUUUUCUUGCAUUCUAUUCUAUGAAUCUAUCAUUGACAAUAAAAUUUAAUCAAGCUAAAUAAACAUAAAAUUAACAUCUAAUUCAAAUAAAUAUGUCAAUGUUUAAUAUUUCAUGAACAAUAUAACAUAAAAGUAAAUAUUAUUUUCUAAGCUGAAAAACUAUAGUAUUUAAUUAUCAUUGUGUCUUGACUUCAAAAACAUUAUUGUUGUUCUCAAUCCACCUUGUCCUAUUAUUGACAGGUGUGGACUACAAAUUUUGUAGGACAAACGAUCUAAGUAAAUGACAAAAUAAUACUCAAUUCUCUUCACAUUUUUCUUGUGGGCUAGUGGACCAACUUGCAUUGUGAUCUCGUUAAAACAUAUCAUGUUCAUCUUGGAUAUAUAAAUCUUAAACCCUAAACUCUAAACCUCCAUACCUUCCUCUUGCACCUCCAUAUUUUUUUUAAUUCCUACAAUAUUUUUCUGAUUAAGGUUAUGAGGAUUCACAAUUUACUUCAAGUUGCAAUAAGAGUUCACUCCAUAGAACCAUUGCAAGUGCAACAAUAAUUAUUUUUCUUGAUAGAACUUAUGCGAUGUUGCUUGAGGAAAAACUUUAACUACAAAAGACCUAAACCCUCAAGUAAGUGUUGAUUUAUUUUAUGAAGUAAUUAAAAUAUGUCAAAUGAUGGACUCUUCCCUCAAACGUUGCGAUGGAAUAAGAAUGGAAAUUUUGCUGGUGGAAGAGAGAGAUAUGAGGUUUUUAAAAAUGUGGGAUUAUAUUUCAUUUAGAAUUAUUUAAAAUUUUAAAAAAUAUUUAAAUUGACUCUUUUUACAGUUAAUAUGGAGAUGUAGUUAGAAGAUUGGGAGAUAAAGGGAAAAUUUGACUUUUUUAAAGUUUACUUGUACUUAAGUAUAUUUAUAUUUUUGUAAUUUUACAUAAUUCUUUUAUCUUUGAAAUAAAAAAUAAAAAAGGGACUUUUUUUAAAUAAUCCGCCAUUAAUUAUCAUUUUAUGAUUAUUUUGGUACCGGUCGGCAUCAGACGAGUCUGUCUUGGACACAACAACCGGCCCACUAAGUCACAGAACACUCCAAAAUCGCGCAUUGAAUAAGAAUCACCAAUUACAAGAGCAUUUAGUGCGCUGUAACCAUAUUCGGAAUAUGCGGGAACAUCUUUGCGAAAUCAAUCAAAUACUAAUUAACUGAAGGAGGUUAUAAACAUUCCUUAAACAACAUACCUCCCUAUUAAUCAGAGAUCACGAUGUGUCAAUUGAUAACUGAUAUUUAUCCCUCAUGCAAGAAAGUCCAUAACUAGCACUAUAAAUUGAACCCUUUGUUGAGGUGUAAGGUAUGUUUUACAUUCUGCUAGUAUACACCUAAAAUCUUAGCAUUGACUUGAGCGUCAGAGUGUAAUCGCAUAUACCCCUCCGACCGUCUGAGUCCAACAACAAAGGAAGGAAGCUCAAAGUUACACAGAGGAUCGUCAAGAGGCACCAACAUGUCACCAAAUUGUGUUACCUGGGUCCAUUUUCCCCCACAUAGGUACAAUUUUAGUUUAUGAUAAAAGUUAAAAGUAAAUUAUUUUUUAAAUUAAGAAACUAAAAUAUAUUUAAAUCGGAGAGACCGAAUUUUUUUAACGUAAUUUUAUAAAACAAAAGUAUAAGCUUUUAAUGAUUAUUUUACAUUUCAAUUCUUCAAGUUUACUUUUAACAUUUCAGUCUUCCAUUAUCAUCGUGUAUGUGCUCGGUUCUCCUUUAUGCUUCUUUUGGUCGAACAAAAUGAAAUAUAAAAAAAAAAGAAAAAGUGAGAGAAACAUGUAAAUAAUGAGUGAAAAAAUAUUAUUUGAUUGAAGACAAAUUAGUCAAAAAAAAUUAUUUAUUUAUUAAUAUUAUUUUUAUACUUUAAUUAUUAAUUAUUAUUAUUAUUAUAAUUUUUUUUUGUCUAUUUUCUUCAUAUAUUUAUCAUUCAAUCCGUGACAAUCCUCUCCAUUUCAUCACAAAUUUAAAUUAGUUAACAAAGUUCACUCAUCAUCACUUUCUUGGUUUAAAAAUUAUUGAUGGGUAAUCAACUUACAUAGUACAUAAAAUUCAUCAGGAAUGUAAUAAAAUGUUAUAUUAUUAGCGAGUAGGGAUGUGAAAGUGAAACAAACUAUAAGUUGAUUUAAAAUUGGAUAAUCUCACCCUAAUUCACACCGUGACAAGUUUGAAAGUUUCUAACCCAAAUACACUAAAUGUUGGUCAAUUAAAUGGGGCUAUCUAACUAAAAAAUAUUGAAAAAUUUAAAUUGCUAAAAAAAUACAGGAGAUGUGAUGUAAAAGGAACAAGCUCCAGGACCACCUAUCCACGGUGUGAGGGAGAAUGACCCUUGUGUACUGUAGUAACAAUUUUAAAAUUAUAUUAAAUUUAUAUUGAAAGUAUAAAUAUCAAUUUAUAGAAAAAUGCUAAUAUUAUUUAUAUUAUUUAUAAUUAUUAAUUUUUUAUAGAGGUGUAUAAUUUUUAUUUUGUUUUUGUCUAUUCUGAUUCUAGUAUUUAUUGUUUACUAUUUGUUUUUCAUUAUCUCUUUAGUUAGACCUAGAAUGAGUGUACUUCUUGUAUAUAUGCAGAUUAUUUGUUUUGAUUUCAAUAGAAGGGAUAUUCAUUCUCAAAAUUUUUGUCUUUCUUUUUUAUCUUUUGUUAAUCUCUGUUCUAUUUUAUAAUAUGAUAUUAAGUUGUUUAAAGUCUAUCAUAACGAGUGUUUGGUGGACUUAUCAGGUUACCCGUUAUCGGACUACUCAUAAAUAUAUUGCCACUCUCAGUAUAAGAGAGUGUGUUGAAAAUCCCACAUGAGAGAAUAGAUCAUUUGAUAGUAUAUAAGUAAGUGCAAACCUCACCUUAUAUAAGAUUGAGUUAAACUUAAAAUUUAUUAAUUUAAAAAUAAAAAGGAUAAAUAUUUAAUAUCUAAUUUAAUGCUCGUGAUUAUGCUUUUCCACGGAAAGGAUGAUUUGUAUUAGAGGUGCAGUAGUAUAUUAUUAUUAUCAUUAUUAUAUUUUAUUUUUUAUUGUAUUUGUUCUUACUUUGAGUACGUUUCUAAUAUAAAAAAAUAACUAAUGAUGAACAAAUUCAAACAACUCAGAAUUUUUCUUGUUUUUUUAGCGAAUGGGAUUGGAAAUAAUAAUAUUAAAAGUCGCUUUUAUAAUCUUUUAAAAAGGAGCAACUAGAAAUAAAUUUUUUGCAUGCAUCCAGGAUUACAUUAUUCUGUAUAAAGAUAAGAAUUUUCCCUAAAAGUUAACUUUACUUUUCCUUUAUUUUCUUUUCCAAAAGCUGAUGGUUCCUCCAUCUUUCAUAGGGAUUGGUCACAUAAAAUAAAAAUGUCUUUUAAAAAAUAAAAAUAUGUCUUUUAAUAAAUAAAAAUAUUCAAAAAGCAUGCAGUCCCGUAAUCGGAACAAAAACAAAAUUAUUCUCUUGAUUCUUCUCUUUUAUCCAACUUUGUCAUUUUAUUCUUUAAAAAAUCAAUUUACUUAUUUAAAGUGUGUGUAUGGGCACACACAAGUGUAGGAACUUAGCAUUUGUGUGUUGUUUGAUAUUGAAGAAAUGCCCACAAAUAAAGAGAAGUGAUAAGAAGAUUAGUUCUUAAUUUCAUCUUACAAAACUUUUUUUUUUCCAAAAAUAUACUUAUUUAGAAAAAAUGACCCAAACAAAUCUAUUUUACUUUAAUUUCCAAACUAGACUCAUGUAUUCUUGACAUGAGUCAAAUUUUGAAGAGUGAAUAGUACACCACUUUUUCUUUUCCUAUUUUUUCUCAAUUUUCAUUUUUUUUUGUUUGAAAAAACCGGUUUAGAAUUUGGCUUAUUGAGAAUCGGUUUUCAGCAGCACGGGAGUGGAUACAUUGAAAAUUUGGUUGCACUAGAAAAUUGGCUCAAAUUUUAUUUCGGGGAUUUGAAUUGUGUCCUAUUUUUAAUUUAUUUUUGAAAAUUGAGAAACAAGGAGUGAAAGUAUUUCACAUUGAAAUUCCGGUUAUUGGGAAGUCGAAUUCUAAAUGUGAAUAGUAAAUAAAAUAAGUCCAAUUUGAAAAUUAAAGUUGAAAUAUGUUUAUUUGGGUAACUUUUCAAAAUGGGUUUAUUUUGGGAGGAAAGAAUCCCAAAACUAUAUAUGUGUGAACCAAAUAUAUUUAAUUUUAUUGUAAAAUAAUUAUGUAAUUUUUUGCAUAAAUAGUUGGUUUAAUAUAAUAAGUAUUUACAUGUUUUAUUUUUAGUACAGUAAAAGAAAAAUUAUAAUUUUAUUAUAACAACUUUAAUUCUCUUAGAUUUAUUUAAAAUUCGAUAAUAAUUAAUAAUAUAAUUAAGUAAGUUUGGUCUUUAGUAAUUCUCAACCUAUGUUUGUUAAAAGAAAAAUUAAUGUUAAUAGGCAAUUAGGUUUUUUCUUUUGUUUUAUAAAUUUCAAACAAAAUAAAACUAAGAGACUUAAAGUUGUUGUACUUAAAACAUAGUUUUUUUUUUCUUAUUAUAAUAAAAAUAAAAUAUGUUAAUAAUUUUUAGAUUGAAUAAAUUAUUUAUCUUAGUUUUUUUUUUCUAUUUCUUCUUUUCAAUUACAAAAUAUUUUUUUAUUAUUUUCUAUUCCGUAGGUAACAGUCAAAAUUUGUAGAUAAAUCCAUAGAUAAUUUAACAUAUUUUACUUUUAAAUUUUCAAUUAUUAUUUGAAUCUAUUUUUUUUUCAAUUAUUAUUUAUGCUCAUCUUUAGGAUUAUUAUUGACAUUGACAAUUAUUAUAUAUGUUAUUAGUGGGUGGGACUCGAACCAAAGUCCAUUGGAUGACCAAAGAAACUUUAAUCAUUACACUAAAUAAAUUUUGUUAUCAUGUUAUGGUUAUUAUUAUAUUUAUUAGUAUGAUUAUCAAUAUUAAUAUAAUUAUUAAUAUAAAUAUUAUUAAUAUUAUUCAUAUAUUUAAUAUCAUAAAUAAUAAUUGAUAAUUGGAUGACCAGAGAAACUUUAACCAUUACACCAAAUAAAUUUUGUUAUCAUGUUAUGGUUAUUAUUAUAUUUAUUAGUAUGAUUAUCACUAUUAAUAUAAUUAUUAAUAUAAAUAUUAUUCAUAUAUUUAAUAUCAUUUAUAUUAUUAUUCAAAUUAAUAACAUUAUUAAUUAUUAUUAUAAUUUUAUUAUUACUAUUUGUGAAUAUUAGUUGUGAUUUUAUAAUUAUUCAUAUAUAUAAAUAAUUCCUGUUUUUGUUAUUCACGGACACACGGUUCGUAGGUAAGUUACCUACAAAUUGAAGUGGGUGGCUAAUUCUUGUUUUUGUUACCCACAAACAUACUGUUCAUAGGUAAAUUACCUACAAACUGAAGUUGAUGGAUAAUUUCUAUUUCUGCUACCCACAUACACACUGUUCGUAGGUAAAUUACCUACGGACUAAAGUUGGUGGAUAACAGAAACAAGAAUUAUCCAUCAACUUCAGUUCGUAAGAAUAUUAUUAUUAAUAAUAUUAUUCAUGUUAUUAAUAUUAUAAAUUAUUAAUAUUAUUAAUGUUAUAAAUAAUAUGAGUAAUAUUAUUUAUAUUAAUAUUACUAAUAUUAAUUUUAUUCAUAUUAUUAAUAUUAGUUAUGCUUUUAUAAUUAUUCAUAUAUUUAAAUAAUAUUUUUAAUAUUAUAUAUAUAAUUAUUAUUAUGGGAAUAUCCGUAGAUAUCGAUGUUAAAUUUACUAAUAAAUUCAGGUCCGUAGAUAAUGCUGAAUUUACUUACGAAUUCAUAUCCGUAGAAAAAAUCUCAUUUGAACAUGUAACACCCCAUAAUUUACAUAUAACUAUUACAAUAAAAGUUUUACCCGUUUCUAUACAAACUUGGAGUUUUUCAAAACAUUCCUAAUACAUGAUUAGAAUUUAUAGAAAUACAAAUAUUUACAUAUCCAUAACUCAAAAUAAAAACUCUGAAACCUUUAAGGCUCUCCUGCACCUAUAUGGUCAUUUACUCGUGUACAUAGUACAAUCAUCGCAGUUCAAACACAUCAAGAAAAGCAAGGGUAAGCUAAUGAAAAGAAAUUUCAUAUCUUAUAUAUUUUUUGCAAAAAGAACCAAUCAAACAAAUCAUUUAUAAAUAUUUCUUUAAAUGUUGUCAUAUAAAAUUUCAAUAUCAAUUUCAUCAUUCAUAUAGACCACACAUGAAUCUAUCUUCAAUCACAAUCAUUGGAUUUCAUUUCAAUCCCACUUCAUCUUCCGAAAGACUCAUUAAGUAUGCCCCUACCAGAGACUAACACCUGACCCAAAGAUUACCAGCGAAUCCAAUAGAAAGGAUUAGGGUAAGUUCAAACAUCCAAUACCGAGUGUCUACAGUGGGACUCAAUGUGUAUGAACUCCCUCUCGGCUUCUCACCACCUGAUAUCUUAGUCUACAUGACUUAGAUCACCAGUGAAGCCAGAGGAUCUCCGUUAAACAUAGGCUUUUCAUACUUAAUGUACCAUCAAAUAACAACUCAUACAUUAUCCCAAAUGUAUGACAUCAAUUUCAUACAAUUUUCAUCAUACAAUAUCAUUCAAAACGCAAUCCACAAUAUUCAAAAUCUUAUUUAACAGAAAAACAACACUUAAAUACUAAACCAUCAAAAUUUAAUAUUUUUACUAGUUUAAAUAAUAUAUAAACAAACAACACAAUAUAUAAAAACACAACAUCCUUGCAAGAAAAAUUGAAUAUUGGGACCACGUCCCUUCUGCAUUAAGAUCUUCUAUCCUAGGGUGCUAUUACAAAUUAAAUUUAGCUUCCCUUACCUCAAUUGCUUGCUUUCCUAGCAACUUCUAGAAUUUUAUUCCCCACAGUCUAGAUAAGCUUCAAGAUUUACGGGCCUAAAGCAAGUUAUCCAAACAAAAUAAAAAUUCAGUAUAUAGUAGAAUAAGUUGAGAGGAUUAAACUUCUCAACUGACCCCACCAAGAUUGAUGACUAAAUCUUAAGGAAAAACUGAGAACAAAGGAUAUUUAGAGUAAAAAUGAACUUACUCUGUUUAAAAAUCUGAUCGGGUAGAAAUGUUCCUUAACUCGCCAGCUACAACGUGGUCCGAUCAAAUUGAAAAAUAGAUGAAGAUUAGGAGAGAAAAUUAAGAGAGAAUGAAGAGAAGAGAAUAUGGAAAGAGAGAGAGAAAGAAAAAGAAGUUUCGUGUGUGAGGGGGGCAUGGGGUUUGGCUUUUGCUUCUUUAUCUUCUUUUAUUUUUACGCUGUUACAAAACUCAGUUAAUCAUGAUUAUCUGAGUUUUGUAAAUAAAUAAUAAGUUAAUAUGUAAUUAAGAUUGAACAAAGUUUUUUUAAUGAUGAUUUGCAUCUAGUUUCUCUUUAUACUUCUGUAAACUUUUGUAGGGUUUUCAUUUCAUCUUGCAGAACAAUUUGAUCUCCUACAAUAUCUAAAAGACUUUGAAUUAUUCUUCUCACAUUAAUGUGGUUUUUUUUUAAAGGUUGAUACUUGUUUAGUGAAUAGAGUCAAAAGAUUUUCGUUCAAAAACUUUGUAGAAGAAAUUUAAAUAAAAUCCAAUAGAGUUCAGAUAUGACAACUUACAUAAUAUAGAAGUUAAUUACAAAACAAAAAAAAAAACUAAAUCUCAUAUCCUAAUAUAGUCAUUAUGUAGUACUUUCAUAAGAGCAACACAUAUGAAAAUAUCACUUUCAAAUUUAGGAAAAAUAAUGGAAUUAAAAAAGGAUGAAAUUGAAGACAUAAUUUUAAGAGAUAAAAUGAGUUAAUUUCCAAUAAAUCACAAUUUUAAAAUUUUAUUUAUGAGACAAAUUCUAAAUUUGUUGUGUGAAAAAAAUAAUGUUAUAAACGAGAUUUCAAAGGAAAAACAAGAGCAUCAAGUUACAUAAUCGAAUAACAUUCUUAGAUCUAGAUUUCUUUUUCUUUCGUUUUUCUUAUGGAAGACUAAACAUUAUGGGUUGAUUCUAUUGUGAUUUUUCAUUGAAUUUAAAGGUUUUGUUAAAUGAAAUUUUGUUUUUUAAUUUUUUGUAACAGUUUAUUUUAAUCAUUUGAUAUUUUGAAUUUGAAUGCCUAUCAAAGAAAUUGUCUUUGAAUAUUUAUUGAAAAUUAAUUUAAAAUUUAAUUACUAUUAUUAUUACUAUUUUUAUUUGUAAAGAUAAUUAACAAUUGUUAUUAGUUAUUCCUAACUAUUUCCUCAUGGUUUUCUUGUAUUAAUUUUUUAUUGUAUUACAGUUAAUGAAGAUGAAUAUUCCUUGUCUGAUGUGGUGCAUCAAAUGGAGUGCACGUAAUCACACGAAAUCGCAAUAGAGAAAGGGAGGUGCUGAUGAACCCUAAUUGCAAAUGAAAAAGAGACAAUGACUUAAGCAUGAAAGAGAGAAAAGAAGAGAAAAGAAAAUACAAAAGAAAUUCUUAUUUACUUGUGUAUUAGAGAGUAAAAUACAUUGUGUAUAUAUAAGAAAAAGACUAAGACCUAGCUGAAACAAAAAGAAAGUUGGGCCAAACAAACAAAGCCCAAUAACUUAAAACAGAAAAACUAAAUAUGUUAACAUCCCCCUCAAGCUGGGGAGUAGAUAUUUGUCAGGCCUAGCUUGGAUUUGAGAGUAGAGAACUGUGCGGAAGCAAGAGGCUUGGUGAAUAUGUCAGCAACUUGCAUGGCAAAAGUAAUGGACAACAGUUUGAGGAGACCAAAGUUAAGUUUUUCACGAACUAGGUGACAAUCAAUUUCGAUGUGCUUGGUGCGUUCAUGAAAGACUUGAUUGGACACUAUUUGAAGGGCAGAUUUGUUGUCAUAGUACAGGGUUGCAGACUGGGAGAGAGGAAGAUGUAAAUCCUGAAGGAGGUAAGACAACCAUUGUAGCUCACAUGUGAUGGUGACAAGGGCUCUAUACUCGGCUUCAGAGGAGUUGGGGGAGAUAGUUGGCUGCUUCUUUGAUUUCCAUGAUAUUAGGGAGUCUCCUAAAAAGAUGGAAUAUCAAGUGACAGAUUUGCGUGUGGUAGGACAUGUUGCCAGGUGAAGUGAGCUAGUAUGAGAAAAAUAUAGUCCUUCACCAAGGGUGCCCUUAAGGUAACGCAAAAGACAUGAGACAACUUGUUGAUGAUGAGUUGUGGGUGCAGAUAUGAAUUGGCUUAAAUUGUGGACAGCAAAGGCGAUGUCAGGUCGCGUGUUGGUUAAGUAGAUUAGACGUCCAAGGAGUCUUCUGUAUUGAGAAGUUGCAUCAGCAUCAAGAGGAGAGCCUUGAUCGAGAGAGAGACAGGAGGUAUGAGUCAUAGGAGUGGCCACAGGUGCAGAGUCAAGCAUGCCAGUUUCGUGAAGAAGAUCAAGAGUAUACUUGCGUUGACUUAAAUGAAGACCGGAACUGUUGCAAGCAAUUUCCAGUCCCAAAAAGUAAGUGAGAUUACCUAAAUUUUUUAUCUUGAAGUGAUGGUGAAGAGAUGCAGUAAUUGUAUUGAUUUCCUCCGUGUUAUCGCCAGUUAAGACCAAAUCAUCAACAUAAACAAGAAUAUCAGUGAGUUUAUCGUUAUUAUAUUUAAGAAAAGGAGAGUGAUCAACAACAUAAAUAGAGUAAUUAUUUGAUAAAAGAAAAGUAGAAAGUUUGGCGUACCAUUGGCGACCAGCUUGACAAAGGCCAUACAAAGACCGUUGAAGCUUGCAAACAUGCUGGGGAGAAGGAAGAGAGAGGCCAGGUGGGGGGGUCAUGUAUACCUCUUCAUGGAGAUCACCAUGAAGAAAUGCAUUAUUGACAUCAAGUUGUUUUAAAAUCCAAUUUUUGGAAGUGGUUAACAAGGAAAAGGCGGAGGGUAGUGAUUUUAGCAACAAGUGCAAAAGUGUCUAAGAAAUCAAGUCCUUCAAGUUGGGUGAACACUUUGGCAACAACUCUAGCUUUGUGGCGCUCAACAGUGCCAUCAUAAUGGUAUUUGAUUUUAUAUACCCAUUUACAACCAAUAGUUUUCUUUCCUGAAGGGAGAGAGGUAAGUUGCCAAGUAUUGUUAGCAGCAAGAGUUUGAAGCUCAUCUUGCAUGGCAGAUUGUCAAGAAGCAUGUUUAGAGGCUUCGUUAUAUGUCUGAGGUUCAGGAUGAGAAUUGAUAGAGGAAAUAACAUUUCUAAAAUUGGAAGAUAAGGAAUUGUAAGACAAGUAAUUAUGAAUAAGAUAUCUACUACUUACAGUGUUGGUUGCAGUGUGGAAAUNNNNNNNNNNNNNNNNNNNNNNNNNNNNNNNNNNNNNNNNNNNNNNNNNNNNNNNNNNNNNNNNNNNNNNNNNNNNNNNNNNNNNNNNNNNNNNNNNNNNUGAGGUGCUUCCUGGAGAUGCAGGUGGUGAUAAUUCUGGUUGAGGUGCAAUGUUGGAUGCAGGAGCAGAGGCACUAUUUAUAGGAAGAUCAGAGGAUAAUAAGGUUGGUGGAGGGACAGUAUUGGGUGCAGGAGUAGAGGCACAUGGCUCGACAGGAGGUGCAAUAAUACAAGAAAAAAAAAUCAAAAAACAGAAUUAUAUGCGUUAGAAAUAGGGAGAGAUAAAGUGUUAGGGUCCUUAGGCAAGCCACUGUCCAAUUUAUAUGGAAAGUGGUUUUACAUAAAAGAUUACAUGUCUUGAUAUCUUUAUGCUUAAUUAGAAAACUUUAAAUUUAAGUAUUAAUAUUAACCUUUUUAUUUUGUGGGGUAGGUUGUGGGAGGCCAGGUGGGGGGGUCAUGUAUACCUCUUCAUGGAGAUCACCAUGAAGAAAUGCAUUAUUGACAUCAAGUUGUUUUAAAAUCCAAUUUUUGGAAGUGGUUAACAAGGAAAAGGCGGAGGGUAGUGAUUUUAGCAACAAGUGCAAAAGUGUCUAAGAAAUCAAGUCCUUCAAGUUGGGUGAACACUUUGGCAACAACUCUAGCUUUGUGGCGCUCAACACUGCCAUCAUAAUGGUAUUUGAUUUUAUAUACCCAUUUACAACCAAUAGUUUUCUUUCCUGAAGGGAGAGAGGUAAGUUGCCAAGUAUUGUUAGCAGCAAGAGUUUGAAGCUCAUCUUGCAUGGCAGAUUGUCAAGAAGCAUGUUUAGAGGCUUCGUUAUAUGUCUGAGGUUCAGGAUGAGAAUUGAUAGAGGAAAUAACAUUUCUAAAAUUGGAAGAUAAGGAAUUGUAAGACAAGUAAUUAUGAAUAGGAUAUCUACUACUUACAGUGUUGGUUGCAGUGUGGAAAUCCGCAANNNNNNNNNNNNNNNNNNNNNNNNNNNNNNNNNNNNNNNNNNNNNNNNNNNNNNNNNNNNNNNNNNNNNNNNNNNNNNNNNNNNNNNNNNNNNNNNNNNNNNNNNNNNNNNNNNNNNNNNNNNNNNNNNNNNNNNNNNNNNNNNNNNNNNNNNNNNNNNNNNNNNNNNNNNNNNNNNNNNNNNNNNNNNNNNNNNNNNNNNNNNNNNNNNNNNNNNNNNNNNNNNNNNNNNNNNNNNNNNNNNNNNNNNNNNNNNNNNNNNNNNNNNNNNNNNNNNNNNNNNNNNNNNNNNNNNNGUCCAAUUUAUAUGGAAAAUGGUUUUCAUAAAAGAUUACAUGUCUUGAUAUCUUUAUGCUAUGAAACUUUAAAUUUAAGAUAAUAUAACCUUUUGUAUUUUGCGGGAAGCCAAGAAAAAUACCUUUGAUAGAUCUAUCAUCUAAUUUUUUCCUAUGUGCAGUAAUGGUACUAGCAUAACAGAGACAACCAAACACUUUUAGAAAGGAAAUGUUAUAUGGUUUUCCAAACAACUUUUCAUGAGGAGUGAUGUUAUUAAGUAAUGGAGUAGGAAUAACAUUUAUUAAGAAAACAACAUGAUUUACAACAAAUUCCCAAAAAUAGGAGGAAGAUUUGCUUGAAAAAGCAAAGCCCGGGUUACAUUUAGUAUGUGUUGAUGUUUACGUUCUACAAUGCUAUUUUGUUGUGGUGUUUCAACACAAGAUUUUUUAUGUAUAAUUCUCUUUGAAGCAUAAAAAUUUGACAUAGCAAACUCAACACCAUUGUCAGUACGAAUUGUUUUGAUAUUAGUUUUGAAAUGAUUUUGAACNNNNNNNNNNNNNNNNNNNNNNNNNNNNNNNNNNNNNNNNNNNNNNNNNNNNNNNNNNNNNNNNNNNNNNNNNNNNNNNNNNNNNNNNNNNNNNNNNNNNNNNNNNNNNNNNNNNNNNNNNNNNNNNNNNNNNNNNNNNNNNNNNNNNNNNNNNNNNNNNNNNNNNNNNNNNNNNNNNNNNNNNNNNNNNNNNNNNNNNNNNNNNNNNNNNNNNNNNNNNNNNNNNNNNNNNNNNNNNNNNNNNNNNNNNNNNNNNNNNNNNNNNNNNNNNNNNNNNNNNNNNNNNNNNNNNNNNNNNNNNNNNNNNNNNNNNNNNNNNNNNNNNNNNNNNNNNNNNNNNNNNNNNNNNNNNNNNNNNNNNNNNNNNNNNNNNNNNNNNNNNNNNNNNNNNNNNNNNNNNNNNNNNNNNNNNNNNNNNNNNNNNNNNNNNNNNUAAAAGGAGCAAAACAAUGCGAUUUAGAACGGCUAGAAGAAGGCAAGGUAGUGACAAGGUACAAGUCAGCGAUGACUUUAACUAUACCAAUCCUCUCUUGAGUGAGAUUGUCCUGUAUAAUGUAGUGGGUUGAAGUGAAAGUUAAAGUGCAUUUAAGUUGGUGUGUGAGUUUAGAAACAAAUAUUAAGUUUAAUUGAAAAUGAGGCACAUAUAACACAUCAGACAAAUAAAACUUAUCAAAAAAACGUACUAAGCCAUAAUAUGUGGCAUAAACAGUUUGGCCAUUUGGAAGACUAAUUAAGACAAGUUUAAUUUUAGUAUAAGUAGUAAAACCGUUCAAAUAGUGACAAAUAUGAUCUGUGGCACCAGAAUCAAUAAUUCAAGAUUCUUUUAUAGAAGAUAGAUAGUGAAGAGAGAAACUUACUUGUUGAAGAAUGCUCAGUAUUGGGGAUUUCAUCUGCAGAGAAGGUGCCGACUUGAUUAAUUUGAGUGUGAGGAGCAGGAUCCUCAAGGUUUUGCUGACGCAAAAUGUUGGUAAGGAAUUGACACUGCUGUGAUGUAAGUUGAAUCCCCUUUACAUCCUGUUCUUUAGGAAAAAGCUCAGAAAAAGUGUCAGUAGUAAUCAUAUUAUUGGCUUGGGAUGUCCAAUUGGUGAAUUUGUAGCCAAGAGGGAACCCGUGUUUUUUAUAACAGGUGUCGACAGUGUGGCCAAGACUAUUACAAAAAGUGCAGACUUUUCUAGUAAAAGAAAAUUUUGAGGUUUUAACAUUACUAGAAGGAAAACCCACUUUGCGAAAACAAACAACCUCAGUAUGACCAUAUUUACCACAAAAAUUGCAUGUAAUAGUCUGACUACUAUUAAGACUAGGGUUUUCAUUAAACAUUGGCUAAGAGAUUUUUAAACCCAAUCAAGAUUUUGAAAGAGAACAUAAAAGAUAACCAAGAACAACAAAGGGGGAAAUAAAGAUCAGAGAGAAGCGCAGCAAAGCUCUUCAUUCGAAGAGCUCUGAUACCAUAUUACAGUUAAUGAAGAUGUAUAUUCCUUGUCUGAUGUGGUGCAUCAAAUGGAGCGCACGUAAUCACACGAAAUCGCAAUAGAGAAAGGGAGGUGCUGAUGAAUCCUAAUUGCAAAUGAAAAAGAGACAAUGACUUAAGAAUAAAAGAGAGAAAAAAAGAGAAAAGAAAAUACAAAAGAAAUUCUUAUUUACUUGUGUAUUAGAGAGUAAAAUACAUUGUGUAUAUAUAAGAAAAAGACUAAGACCUAGCUGAAACAGAAAAACAAAGUUGGGCCAAACAAACAAAGUCCAAUAACUUAAAACAGAAAAACUAAAUAUGUUAACAUAUUGAGUUAUGUUUCUAUCUAGGGUGGACAAAAUAUCUAGUUUCUAAAACUGCUUCACUUUUGCAAUACUCUAAUCUAUUAAAAAUCCAUUUAUUUAAAUCUAAUUUUUAGUAUGAUCCAUAUUUUAUUAUAUUUUUCAUAUCAAAUUUAUAUUUUGUUUAUACAGAUUUUAAAAAAUGGAUACUCCAAAUAUUUAGAAGUAGUCUAUCUCGAGUACCUCUACCAAAACCAUCUUUUUAUACUUUCUCUCAUUUGCAGUUUCCUCUUUUUCUCCUCUCUUCAACACCUCUUAUUUACUUUUGAGAAUUUUAUUUGCUCCAAUAACUUAUACAUUUUUUUUGGUCGGCAAUAAUAAAUUAAUAAAUGCGAGCCACUUCAGGGGUGGUUCAACCCUUAUACAAAAGAAACAAGAGAUACCAAACCAAUUACUAGCUAAAAUCUCCAAACUAACAAACACAAGCACUAACCGGACAUAGACUUAAACUACAUCAAGCAACCAUUCUCAUACAUUCCAAAGGUACCAUACACCAACUAGAAAAGGGAAACGAAGCGGAUCGAGAUCUAACAUUAAUCCAAGACCAAACCUUUGCUUGCACCCGUGCACACACUUCAGACGCAUCAGUCACUCCCCUGUUGAAGAUAAUAAAAUUCUUGUGGAUCCAAAUUUCACCCACCACCCCAACCCAGAUCGUGCGCCACACUUCAUUAACCGACUCUGAAGACUGGCACAUCCUAAAUUGUGCAAAGUUUAACACUAGAUCAACAUGGGACACAAACGUCACCCCCAACCACUCAAGGCAAAGGCACCAAACCCGCCAAGCAAAUCUGCAAUCGAAAAACAAAUGGCGAUAAGACUAUUCCUCCUUCCCAAACAAACAACACAAAGGGCUACCAAACAACACACCUCGCCUUUCCAAAUUGGCCCUAAUAGCGAUCUUAUUCUCCAACACCCUUCAGGCAGUGACUAAAGCAGAAGGUACGACUUUACAGCUCCAUAACUUACUGUAAGUCGGAGAGAAAACCACCUUACCAUCCCUCCUAAGAAGAGAAUAAGAAAAACUAACUGAAAACGUCUGAAGACCCCCUGCCUUCCAAACCCACCUAUCCGCUUCUCCUAGGACCAACCUAACCUCAAGUAAAGCCUGAUAUAACUGAUCCACCAAAGGUUUCUCCCAUUCAAACAAAGAUUUACGCCAUGCUAAAUGCCAAACCCACACACCAUUAGACCAAGACCCAAUCUCAGCCACCUUUGCAUCUUUGGUCGAACACAGGGAGAACAGACUCGGAAAUACUCUCUUCAGCGCAUUUUGACCUAGCCAUCAGUCCUCCCAAAAAAGAACAUCCUUUCCAUCACCAACUUUCCAACUAAUCUCGUCUUCAAAACUACUACCCCACCCCUCCGAAACCCACACCUUUUUUAAGUCUUUCCACCAAAUAGAGCACCUACUACUUUUCUCUUCCUCUCUCAAACUUCUCCAACCACCAUAUUUGGAGACAAGAAUCUCCUUCUAAAGACCAUCCUUAUUCGAACCCAACCUCCAUAUCCACUUGCCUAACAAAGCCACAUUAAAAGUCUUUAGAUCAAUGAUACCAAAGCCCCCAAGUUCGCGAGGUUUACAAACCUUUUCCCAGGAGGCCCAAGCGAUCUUCCUUCCUUCAGAUCCCCAACCCCAAAGAAAAUCCCUUUGAAUCCUGACCAACUUGUCUGCCACCCUAGAAGGCAAUUUAAAUAGUGACAUAAAGAAUAACGGGAUGGAAGAAAGAACAGACUUGAUCAAACACACUCUCCCUGCCAACGACAAGCACUUACCUUUCCACCUGAUAAGCCUAGUCUUAACCUUCUCAAUCACCCCAUUCCAAAAGUCACCGUGCUUAUGACUCCCACCAACAGGCAAACCCAAGUAAACAAAAGGAGAACCCAUUACAUCACACUUAAGGAUAUCUGCAAAACUUCGAAGCGAGCCAUGACUCAACCCCGUUCCGCCAAUCCUACUUUUCACAAAAUUAACCCUAAGCCCAGAGGUAAGUUCAAAGCAUUGCAAAAUCGCCUUAAUAUUGAAAAUGCUUUUGGUGUUAGCUUCACAGUAAAACAAAGUAUCGUCAGCGUACUGUAACAUAUUAACCUUCAUUCUAUCCCUGCCAACCUCCAAACUGUCAAUCAAAUUCUUUUCUUCAGCCAUCCUUGAUACGCCAACCAACCCUUCUGCCACAAUAAGAAAGAAAAACGGAGUUAGUGAAUCACCUUGAUGGAGACCCUUCAUUGGAAAAAAAACUCCUUAGUUGGGCAUCCAUUCACAAGGACUGAAACAGACGCGGAUUCUAAACAACCUUUAAUCCAACGAAUCCACAGGUCACAAAAGCCCAACCUCCAAAGCAUAUAAUAAAGAAACUACAUAAUAAAUAGAUCUAAUAUUUUCAAAGUUUAAUUAAAGUAUUAUAGGUAGGUGUAUUUUAAUGUUAAAAAUUUAUAUAUUAUGUUAUCUUUAAUUUUUUUAUAUUAUUAAAUUAUAAUUUUAUUAUAUUUUCUUAAUAUUUAUAUAAUAUUCAACUUUUUUUACAUAUUAUUAUAUUAAUAUUAUGUUAAUUUUUUAGAAAACAUGGAUUAUUUUUUUUAUAAAAAUAUGAAUUUUGAUUUAAAAUCCAAUCUAAAUAUUUGGAUUUGAAUUUUCAUAAAAAAAAUAUGAAUUUAGAUUAUAAAUUUGAUCCAAAUAUUUGGAUUUGAAUUGGAUUUAAUUGAUGAACACCCUUACUCCUAUCUUAUCUUAUGCUUUCUAUAAUAGUAAAUACUGUAAUUAUCAUAAAAAAAGUUGAGUACGAAAAUAUAUUUUUAUACUGAUUUUAAAUAUUGUACGAAAGUUUCUAAUAGUAAAUUGAACUUACUAUAACAAUUUUUUACUGAUAUAAAAAAUUAAACUUUAUAUAUAUAUAUUCUUUAUCGAAUGCGUUACAUAAAUAUAUUUAUCGUUAAGUAUGGUUGAUAACAUACACUUGUUUCUUUCUAUUGUCUUGUAAAUACAUUUCCAUACAUAAUGAAAAUAUGUUUUUUUUUCUAGUUUGGGGAAGGCACCUUUUUUAAAAGACAACAAAAAAUGUUUUGUGUAUGUAUUUUAGAAACAUGAUUCUCUCAAGAAUAAUUUGGAAAAAAUAAUGGAAAUUAUGAGGUAAAAUAGAAAAAAUCAGGUGGUAAUAAUAGAGCCCAACUAAGCUCAGUACCAGCCAAUAAUACAAAUCUUGGAUUGGGCCUUCAAAGUAUAGACUGUUCUGCACCUCUAAAUUCUUGCCACACCUCAUACUAAAUACGAGAAUAUAUUUUCUUUUAGUACAAAAAAAUUAACCUUUAAAACUCCACGCACCUUUUUCACUUCUUUUUAUCUCACCCUGACAAUCCUGGUGACCUACAUUAUAUCUUGCAUUGGUUUGCCAAUGUUUUGAUUGUCCUUUAUUUUUUUUUUAAUUUUACAAAUAUUUUGAAUUAAUUCAAAAAAUAUUUUUAGAUUUGAAAGUGUUUUUCGAAUUUAUAAAAUCUAUAAAAAUUUUAAAAUAAAUAAAUAUUAUAAAUUACAUAAUUCAAAAGUUAAUUUCAAAUUUAAAAAUAAUUUCUAAAUUAUGUAAUAAAAAAUAUAUUUUAAAAAAAAUAUUCAGAUUACAUAAUCCAAAAUUCAGAAAUUUUUUUAGAUUUAAGAUUAGUUUAUGGAUAUGUAAUCUAAACAUAUUUUGGAUUACAUAAUCUAAAAAUUAAUUUAUACUAAAAAAACUUCUGAAUUAAUUCAGAAGCUAAUCUACAAUCUAAAAGAAAAUUCAAAUUAUAUAAUUCAAAAAUUAAUUAUAAUUUAAAAAAAAUUUAAAUUAUAUAAUUCAAAAUAUAAACUACACCACAUCGUAAAUUUCAUAUAUUUUAACUUUACCAUAAAAAAAAGACGUUUUUAAAAUAUACAAACCAAUGGAGGUGCCAAGCAAAACUGCAAAAAUCACAUUGAAUAUAGCCUUGUUAAAAUACUUGAAUUUUUUUUAUAGCCUAUAUUAAAUAUACAAAGAAUCGUUAAACAGCUUUUUACAUUCUUGACUUAUAUUAUUAUCACGUGAAUACGUUUAUCUAUGAUAUACGAUAUACGAUAAUAUACAAAAAUAAAAAAUCUAUAUUUAACAUGUUAUAUUGUACAUAUCAUAACUUUUUAUCAUAUAAAAUAAAUAAAUAAAUAUAUUUUUAGUUUCUAUUGUAACACCCCAUAAUUUACAUAUAAUUAUUACAAUAAAAGUUCUACCAGUUUCUAUACAAACUUGAAGUUUUUCAAAACAUUCCUAAUACAUUAUUAGGAUUUAUAGAAAUACAAAUAUUUACAUAUCCACAAUUCAAAACAAAACUCUGAAACUUCUAAGGCUCUUAUGCACCUGUAUGGUCAUCUGCUCGUGUCCAUAGUACAGUCAUCGUAGUUCAAACACAACAAAAAAAAGCAAGGGUAAGCUACUGAAAAUAGAAUUUUAUAAUAUACACACUUGAAUCCAAAGAGAAAACCAAAUUACAUUAUCAAUUUAUCAAAUUAUUCAAUUUUCUUCAAAUCUCAACAAUAAAACAAUCACAUAGAUCUCACAUGGAUCUACACAUCCAGAAUAUUCAAUAAACAACGUCUUCCGGAAUACCCAUAUUAAGUAAGUCCUACCAGAGACUAACACCUGAUCCAAAGAUUACCAGCGAAUCCAACAGAAAGGAUCAGGGUAAGUUCAAUACAACCCAAGUCGUGCAUCUCAUAUGUCACGGUGUGCAUGAACUCCCCCAUCAGCUUCUCACCACCUGAUAUCUUAGUCUAUGUGACUUAGAUCAUCAGUGAAGCUCGGAGAUCUCUGUUACCACAUAAUCUUCUAUCCUAGGGUGCUACUAAAAAUUAAAUUUAGUUUCUCUUACCUUAAUUGUUUGCUUUCCAAACAACUUCUAGAAUUUUAUUUCCCACCGUCUGGAUAAGCUUCAAGAUUUACGGGCCUAAUGCAAGUUAUCCAAACAGAACAAAAAUUCAGUAUAUAAUAGAAUAAGUUGAGAUGAUUAAACUUCUCAACUUAUCCUACAAAAAUUGAUGACUAAAUCCUAAGGAAAACAGAGAACAAAGGAUAUUUAGAGUAAAAAUGAACUUACUCUGUUUGAAAAUCUGAUCGAGUAGAAAUGUUCCUUAACUCCUCUGGUACAGCGUGGUAUGAUCAGAUUCUAAAAUAGAUAAGGUAUGGAGUGAGAAAUUAAGAGAGAAAGUAGAAGGGAGAGAUGGAGGGAGAAAAAAGAAAGAAGAAGAAUGGUGCGUGCAGCAGGGUGGGUUUCUGUUUCUAAAAAAAAGCAUUGUUACACCUAUUAAUUUUAGUUUUGAUAGACAGGUUAUUAUCUAGUUUUGUUGAUUUUUCUUGAGACAUGUUAGGGGUGAAAGUAUAUGAUUUAGAACUAACAUGAACCAAACUUGGAUUUGGAGUUUGGCAACUAUGGUAGAGAAUUCAGGAGUUGGGGUUGGAACAUGUUCCACAUUAAUUAGUGCCCACUUUGCUUUUUUGGAUUCAAAAAUGGGAGAUGGUGAAGUUUCUACGUCAAAAUUUAUAAAAUCCAAAUAUUAACAUUAAUUAUUCAUAUAUUGCAUAACUAUUAAAGAAUAUUAUUAUAAUAAUCAGAGGAAAUUAUAUUAUACUCGUAUCGUCUAUUUUUUUUUUAUCUAUAUCUAAAAGUCUCAUUCCUUUAUUUUGUUAGGGAACUUUCGAAAAAAGAGUAAAGUUGUCACAUGAGGUGGAUAUGCAUUUUUCAUACAUAAAAUGAAUGCUUAAUAUAUACAUUUGUAUACAAAUAGUUAUCUAUAGACAACUCAUUCAGAUUAUGAUAAAGAUGCGUUUGUUCAGUGCAAACAGAUAAACAUGUUAUUGUAUUUUAAUCUAAUUAUAAGAAUGAAAAGGAUAUUAACACAUGCAUGCCAACUUCACAUGAUAAAUAAGAAAAUUAAAUUAUAUUUAAAACUACAUAUAUUUAUUAAAAAUUCAUUUUAUACUAUUAAUAAAUGUAAUCACAUAGCAAAAUAAAAUAAUGCUAGUUAUAAUAAUAUUCUUUUCCACUAUAAAUUUAUAUUACAUAUAAAAUAAAGAUGAUUCCUCUUUUCUCAUUUUAUUAUUUUAUUUUAUAAAUUUCAAAAUCACAAAAAAAAAUAUUUCAUCAUUCUAUAUAAAUUAUUAAAAAUAAAAUAAUUUUUUAUUUUUUCAAUUAAUAUUACUAAGCAAUUUUUAUAUGCAAACGGUCAACAUUCAUUCUUUCCUUAAUCUACCAGUCUAUCUUUAAUUUCUUAUUUUAUGGAAGAUGUUUGUUUAAAAAAAAAACAGAAAGAAAGAGAACACACCCUCAUCCUUAUUUCUAUCUCUUUUGCUAUGCUUUUUUUUUAAUUUCAGUUAGAUACUAGUGAUAAUAAAUAUUAUUAUUAAAAGAAUUGAUUAUUUUCAACAAAUAAGUGUGUUUAAUGUUAAUAAAUAGGAUUAUUAAAAGAAUUAGUUAUUUUCAUGUAUUUAAAAAUAAAAACAAAAUUAUUAUAAUUAUAAAAUUAACUAAAUCAAAAAGAACAACUUACGCAAAUAUUAAACUAAUAGAAGUGUAUUUUUGAUAGUAAAGCUUUAUCUCCAUUAGUAAAAUUGUGGUGGAUUCAUAAGGAAAAGAAGCUCAAAAAAUGACAUACGUAAGCACUGCUCAAUUGGUGGUACUUUGAAUGGCCACGUUACAUCACAGGAACGAUUUUCGUCAUUAUCCUCCGAAUGUCAUAUUAGAAUUUUUAAAAAGAAUUUAAGAAAUAAAUUUGCCAUAUAAUUUUCUGUAAAUUUUAUAAAAUUCCCUAAAAUAUUUACAGAAAAAAUGUCAUUAAUCAUAAAAAAAAUUCUAAAAUAAAAACAGGAUCUCCAACAUACCCCGAGACUACCAACUCUUGCGUGGGACUAUAUAUUAUGGGUGGUCCAUAGCGGCCCGAUAGUUGGUGGCCUGAUAAGCCCAACAAAUACUCGCUAGGAUAGGCUCAAAAUAGCUCUGGUACCAUAUUACGAAGUGAAUUUUAAGUCUAACUCAACCCUAUAAAACUGGCUCAUAAGGUUGAGGUUUGCACCCACUUAUAUACAAUGAAAGACUCUAAUCUCUAAUCGAUGUGGGAUCUCCAACAGUUUCAUCACUGUAAAAGGAAGAAGAAAAAUAUUCAUGUUGGGUGUUCAUUUCAUCACCUAAAUCAUGAAUAUCCAGGAAAAAACUCAUUGCCUGAACAGUCAUAAGAAUAAGUAAAAUAAUAAUAAAUAACUAAAAAUAAUUAAACAAUAUUUUCAGAUGUGUAAUUUUAUUGCGAAUAAAUUAUGUUAACAUUAUUCUGUUUUAGUAUAUUUAAAAUUAUAAUCAAAUUUUAAUUAAGAUUCUAUAAAAACUUAUUUAUUUUAUUAAUGUUUAAAAUUAUUAUUUAUUUUAAUAAUAAAAAGAUAAAAUUAUAUCAAAUUAGUAAAAAUCUGAGUCAUAAUUUGACAGUGUCAAAACAUGUUUUUAUUUGCGAUGACAAAGCGGGGCGGACCGUGCGGGUUGGUCCGCGGCCCGCUGGUAAAAAACGCGGGGCGGGCUGAACUUUUCAACCCGCAUUAGCCCGUCCCGCAUUAGUCCGCGGCCUGCGCGGGCCAGCAGCGGGGCGGGGCGGGCUGGCCCGCUAACCCGCAAGAAAAAAAAUGGAUGAAAGUUUUCUAAGGUGACAUCCAAUGUUAUUAAAAUGGAAGAAAGUCAAUAAUGUUUAUGUUUAAUGUUUUUGAAUUAAUGUUUAUGUUUAUGUUUAAUGUUUUGAAAUUAGGCAUUUUUAAUGUUUUGGAAGUGGAAGAAUAGUGAUAUUUGAUAUUUAUCUUAAUAUUUAAUGUUUUGAUGUUUGACUAUGUUUGAAAAGGAAGAAAAAUUAAUUUAAGUUUGAUACUAACAAAUAUAUAAGUUUAAUUUGACAAUAUUUUAAAAACAAAAUGUAAAAAUAAAAUUAAAAAUUAAAAAAAAGAACGCGAGUUAACCCUCAAAUCUGCGAACCAGCUCUUAUGCGGGGCGGGUCGAGAAUUCUAACCCAUAAUAAAUUUAUGGAGCGGACCAACCCAACCCACAUUUUUGCGGGCUAAGCACGGACGGACCAAUGGCCCGCUUUGCCACCCGUAGUAUGGUGUUUCUAAUCUUCUAAAAGCAAAUGAUGUUGUUCUAUUAUAAAUUUAUACUAUCUUUUCUAAGGUUCCUUUCUAAAUUUUUGUAGUUCAAACAAAAAAAUAUUUUAAAUUAUAAAUUGAUGAAUGAAUAAAAUUUAAAUUUAUGAAAGUAAAUAUAAAUUUAAUUUAAUUAAUACUUAUUAUAUCAACUUAUUUAAAUAAAAUAACUUGGUACAAUAAAAAACCAAUACAACUUUUAAAAAUUAAAUAAAGUACUAAACAUUUAAUAAAAAUGUAAUUACUUUUAAAAAAAUAUAUAAAAUAUAAUUACAUAAUAAUACAUUUUUAUAAAAAAAUAUAAAUUUUAUUUAUAUUAUAAUACUUUUAUAGUUAUAUUCUUUUGUAUCCUUUUAUAUUCAUCAAUUAGUUUAUCAAAUAUUUAUAAUUCAAUAAAGUAGUUUAUUAUUAGCUAUUAAUUAAUUUCUCUUGUAAAUGGUUUAAUGAAUUUAGUGAAAUCUUAAAUAGAUUGACCACAGAUGGAAAGUAAAUCAUGGUUGUGAAUAAAUUAACAUAAAAUUGGCUAUUUUUUUUCAAUUAUACCAAUUUUUUACAUUUUUUUUAGCAAAGUAUCACAAAGCAUAAUACGUUCAUAAUGUGUUGAUUUGAUGGUGAUUUUGAUGAUGUUUGAAUUUCUUGUUAAUGAUUCCAUUACUCAUUAUCUUAACAUGAUUAAAAAUAUAAAACAUGAAUUAAUAUCUAAGAUAAUAUUAAACACAAUUGCAUUUAGAAACUUGUAUUAUACUUUUUCUUAACAUAAUAAUUGAUUAUGUUAGGAAAUAAUCAAUUGUGUAAUUGUUCAUUUUAGGAAAUAAUCAAUUACGUGAUUGACCAUGUUAAGAAAUAAUUAAUUAUGUAAUUGAUUAUGUUAGGGAUGAAUUAAUUAUCUAAUUGAUUAUGUGUGAGAUUAAUCAAUUAUGUAUUGAUUAUGCUAGGAAAUACUCAAAUAAUUAUAUAAUUGAGUAUGUUUAGAAAUAAUUAAAAGAUAAUUUAUUACACUAUAAUAAAAUCAUUAAAUAGAAACCAAUUUUAAAGACAUAAAAUAAUUAGUUGUUAUAUUAACAAAAUUAGAUAUUAUUGUAGAGACUAAACAAAUUAUUAGUAUCUAAAUUAGUUUAUAUUAUUAAUAAAUAGUUUCUAAAUUGAUAUCUAAUUAGUUACAUAGGUUUUAACUACUAAUUAUUUAGGUUUUAAAGUUGGUAUCUAAAACUUUGGUAUCUAAUUAGAUACCAAUUUAUAAAUUAUUUAUCAAUCAUAAAAACUAAUUUAGAUCCCAAUAAUUAUUUUAGUCUCUAUAAUAGUAUUUAAUUCUGUCAAUAUAACAACUAAUUAUUUUUUGUCUAUAAAAUUAUUUUUUAUUUAAUGAUUUUCUUGUAGUGUUAUAUUGGUCAAAAUGGUUUUACAUUUUUCGCAAAUAACCUAUUAUUACACGAAAUAAUCAAAUUAUCUUAGCCAAUAUAAAAAAAACUCAACCUUCACAAAUAAUCAAUUAGGUUUCAAUAAUAAUUGAUUUAACUGUUACUAAAAGUGUUUUAUGAAUUGAUGAACGCACUUAAUAUCCGAUUAUCCUUAAUAAUAUUUUGAUAAGUUAUUUCAAAUAUUUUUAAAACUAAAUUCUCUCUCUCAUUCAAACCACAAUUUUUUUUAUAUUAUUUAAAUAGAGAACUCUCGUAUGAUUUAGACAUUUUUCAGAAGAAUACUUUUAUAUAAUACAAUUGUAUUAAUUGUUUUGAAGAAAUAUUGCUCCUGGUCCAUCAGGUCGAUCAUACUAUAGAUUGUUCUAUUGUAAUAGUGUUUCUUGUUCUAAUUACAUAUAUGCUAUUGUAAUCGGAUAAAUCAAGCUUUUAGUGAAAAGUGAAGCUCGAGUUGUUUAGAUCAACUGGAUUUAGAUUUAGGAAGAAUCAAAGCAGUAUACCAAUUUUGUGUGUCUAUGUCUCAUAUUUCUUUCAUUAUCUUAAAUCCUUUGUUAUUAUUAAGUUAUUGUUCAAGCAAAAUAGGUGAAUUUUGGAAUGUUUCUAGAUUAUUUUUGCUCAAACGAGAGGAUUUUUAUUCAAGUGAUGAGGUCUAUUUUCGCUCAAGUUAAAAAAAACUUGAAUCUCUAUUUUUCCUUAUCAAAGUCUGGUUUAUUAUUGUUUAUUGUUUUUAAGUAAAAAAAUCAAUUUUAUUUAAAUAUGUGGGUGUUUAUGUGAAUUUUGUGUUAUUUGUGGAUUAUUUUAAAAUUUUAAAUUUUUGGUGUGAUUGAAUGAUGUAUUAAUGUAUGAUAUGCAGUAUGAAAUUAUGUGAGAGCAUAAUCAAAACAUAGUAUUUUUAGGAAAGAAAAUACCGUGUCGAGAUUGUUAGGAGGAUGUAUUGGUUUGUGAGUACUAUGUGAAAGGCAUGAUCUCGAAACUACCGAUAUAUUGUAAUCAUAUAGAUGAAGAGUAUCAGGUGGUGAAAGUCAAAGAAAGUUCAUUUGGCUGAGUUUGAAGUUUGAAAUAACUUAUCAGAGCAUAUUAUAUGGAUUUACCUGUGUCAUAUGAGGAUGAAUGUCUUGAAGGGGAGACUAUAUUGUGAUAAGAACAUGGUAAAUGACAUGUGUAGGUCACUGAGUGUUAAUUUCAAUACACAAAUCUUCCGGAAGUAGAAUCAAGUGUAUGUAUUGAUCUAAGUGGAUUUCUAGCAUGAAUGAUGUAAAAUAUGAGAUAAAAUUGUAAACACUUGAUUUUUUUGAAUGAUGAUUGUAGAUAAUGGAGGAUGUAUGAUGAUUAAUAUGUUUGUGAUGAAAUUUGUUUUAUUUAAAGCUUUAUUGAAAGUUUUAAAAUUACUAGCUUACCCUACUAUUUAUUGUGUGUUUGUUUUAAAAUAUGUGAUGAUAGUGUAUUAAAUUAUGUUUAAGGUGACACAACUCUAUUCUUAUCCGGUAUUUUCUUUUGAGUUUUAGUUUUAUUGUAUACAUAUCUUUUAAACUUUAUAUAUGAAAAAUAUUUGAAAUAUUGUAUAACUGAUAAGUAUAUAUGUAAAUAUUUAAAUAGAUAAUUAUAAUAAAUAAAUAAGGAUAUUAAAAUUGAGUGUUAAAGUUAAUUUCUUUUAUCAUCGAAUAAUUAUAGAAAAUAUUUCCUUAAAUUUUUUAAAAUCCAAUUUGACCUCUUUUUUAUUGUGUUUUCUUUUUUUACAAUUUUUUUUUCUUCCAUAAAUGAACCAUUUAUAGUGUUGUAUUGUAAAUCUAAGAAAAAAAUUGAACCAUUAUGUCCGGAGAAAAACAAGUUAUCUUCUAAAACCUAACUUUUGAACCUAUCGUUACUCCUCUUCCUUUCAUUCUUCAUUUUCCUUUCAGUUUCGGCUUUUCACUCUUUAGAAUCCAAAGAAUCUUUACCCUUAACACCACAACAUAUUGCUAUGCCAAGCAAGGAGGAUUCACCAUUAGAAGAAGCAAAUCUUCCACUGCUGGAAGAUGAAAGAGAUGAUGAACAAGACCAAAAACUGGCACCAAGGUUUUGGAUGGAGUCAAAGAAGCUUUGGCACAUAGUAGGCCCUUCAAUUUUGAGCCGCGUUUUAUCCUAUUCCAUGUUAGUCAUCACCCAAGCCUUCGCUGGCCGUCUCGGUGACCUCGAACUCGCCGCCAUCUCCAUUGCCAAUAAUGUCGUCGUUGGCUUCGACUUUGGCCUCUUGGUAUGUUUCACUAUAAAGUUUCAACUCCUUCAAUUUUCAUCAAAGCCUCACACUAAAUAUUAAUUUAAACAACUGAAUUAAAAUUACAAUUCUGAUUACAAAGCAGUUUCGUAAAUUGAUUAAACCAAAUUAUUAAUAUCAAUGUUUUGUAAUUGGAGUAGUUGGGUAUGGCAAGUGCCUUAGAAACGCUGUGUGGGCAAGCCUUUGGAGCGAAAAAGUACUACAUGUUAGGCAUUUACAUGCAGCGUUCGUGGAUCGUUCUUUUCAUUUGCUGUAUCUUGCUUUUGCCUCUGUACUUGUUUGCCUCGCCGGUGUUGAAGCUGUUGGGGCAGCCCGAUGAGCUGGCGGAGUUAUCCGGUACGGUGUCGAUAUGGAUGCUACCGGUGCACUUCGCGUUUGCGUUUCAGUUCCCUCUGCAGAGGUUCUUGCAGUGCCAGCUGAAGACUGCGCCUAUUGCGUGGGUGUCUCUGGUGGCGCUCUUGGUGCAUGUGUUCGUGAGCUGGUUGUUCGUGUUCAAGCUCGAGUUCGGAGUUAUUGGCGCUGCUGCAACCAUUAACUUCUCGUGGUGGGUCCUCACCUUGGGGCUUUUUGGCUACAGCGUUUGGGGUGGGUGCCCUCUCACUUGGACUGGUUUUUCAGUUGAAGCUUUCUCUGGCCUUUGGGACUUUCUCAAACUCUCUGCUGCUGCUGGAGUCAUGCUCUGGUACUCUCUCUCUCUCUCUCCCUUUCAACUUUUUGUUCUUGUGUUUCUCAGCUUGUGUUUUGCAGCUUGGAGAAUUGGUAUUACAAAAUUCUGAUAGUGAUGACGGGGAACCUUGAGAAUGCAGAGAUUGCUGUGGAUGCUUUAUCCAUAUGGUAUUUUUACUACUUUUGCCAUCCUUCUACUCUUGUACGACUUGUUAUGCCUUUUCUUUUAGUUCUUGAUUCUAUAAACUUUUAAAUCUUCUGUAAAAGGCUGAUAUGUAAAGUCAUCUAGUGUUUGCUAAUGUAAAGAUUUUAAAUAAGAGUUAGUCUAUGUUUACUUACAACAAUAAACAUCACCUUGGUUAAAAGUAUAAUUAAUUUUGUGAAAAGCUAUUUAAAAUAGUUUAUGAUACACGCGUUUAAUUACCAAAAAAAAAUGACUGACUGCACUUUUUAGUUACUUUUUUCUGAUAAUAUCUUUUUGCCAAUGAUGUGCUCUGUUCGGCAGUAUGACCGUCAAUAGCUUGGAGUUGAUGAUUCCUCUGGCAUUCUUUGCUGCAACAGGGUAAUAUAUAAAAUUUUUCUCUUUUUGUUUUUAUUUAUUCUAGUUUUUAGUUGUGCACAAGUAAAAUAUGGUGGGCGCAGAAGAAACUCUAGAUAUAAUUGAUAAAAAUAUAGACUGCGAGGAGAAUGCGGUUAGGUUGAGGAACCAUAGAGAAGCAGCAACAAUGACCCUAGAAAAUUGCGUGGUGAUUGAGGUUGUUAUCGUGAAGUGGUGCAAGUAAAGAUGAACCUUUUCUCCUCAAUCACCAUUCACCACAAAUUAGUAAUGUCAAUGAAAGAGAAGUCAUAGAAAAAGUUGGUACAAUACAAGAAGUGAAGCCAAACUUGUGCAUUAUUAACAGGUGAUCUUUCUUUUUGUCGGGGAGUAUAGGAUUAGUCUUGCCCUCAUGACACCUAUUUCAACAUAGGUUCCUUUCGAGUACAUUCCUCCUUUUUUAAAACUAUUUUCACCCUUUUCUUUCUCACUAUCUGACAUUUUUUAAUAUUAAAUAUUUGUCAUGGUCCCAAUAGCUCAUAACAAUGACAUCCUCUGCUUUUGUGUUCUGACUGCUCCAUAUGGAGGCAGUGACCAUACAGUAUUAUCAUAUAGCAAGAAUUGAAGGAUACAAAAUACUAAGUAAAUUGUUUUAUUUUCAUUUUUAACAACUAUGUUUAUAUGUUUGCUACAUAAUUAAUUAUAUCGUUAUUUUAAAAAAUUAAAAAUCAUAAAAAUAAUGAAUUAUAUUUUUUCUGUAUUUAAUUCUCGUAGUUUACCGUUGUAUCAGAAACAAACAAGCUUUGUCUGCAUAAAUAGACCAUCUUCCAUAGGCUUGAAGAGAGGAUGAAAAAAAACAAGCAGAGGCUAAGAACAAUUGUUUGGCUAAGAAAGUGUCCUGCAAUUUCUAGCCACAUGUACACCAUCUUACCUUUUACAAAGGUCAUCUAAUUUUUUGGGAAUAAUGAAAAAAGAAAAAUUAUUUUAUAUUUAACAAGAUAAUUGCUUAAUAAUUAAAAUUUAUUUUAAUAAUUUACUCUAUUAAUGUUUUAAAAUAUACCUAGAUAGAAUUUAUAAUCUACCAUCUCACCUCUUAAAAUAAUAAUAAAGAAUGCUAAUUUCUAAUCCUUUUUGGAUUUUUAUUUUAUUGUUAUUAGACCUUUUUGAAUUAUUGAUUUAGUGUUACAGUUGUUAAUAAUUCAUUUAGUUAUUUAAUUAUUUUUUAGUAAAGUAUUUAUUUUAUUAAGAAUAUAGUAACUACUUAAAUAAUAAUAAUAAUAAAUAUUUGAUUAUGGAAAAGUUAAAAUAAAUUAAAAUAUGUAAAUAUAUAAUUAUUAAUGAUAUUUAAUUACCUAAUAUUAAUAUUUGAUUCAAUAACUAAUCAAAACCUUACUUUUUUAUUUUAUAAUUUUUUACUAAUUUAUCACUCAGUUUUAUUAAAUCUUUAAUCUAAUCUCUCUAUUUUGUACUAGUUUCCAACCUUUAACUAACUUUUUUAAUUCUUAGUUAAUCUUUCAACUUUCAGCUAAUUUUAAAACAUAUAACCAUAGUACUACCAGAGACCAUUCAGCAAUACCACCCAAGGUAUAAUGAGCUAUUUUGAAUUCAGGAUUAUAAACCAAUUCAAGGGAUGACCCUUUUGGCAUAAUGCAAAGAAAACAUUAAAACUUACAAGGAAGAGGAAGAUAGGGAAAAAAGUGAGACAUGAUGAAUACUGAUAAUAUUAGUAAAAGAAAAGCCCAAGCUAAAAAUAAUUUUUUAAUUUAUAUAGUUAGAAGGAUCUAAAUAUGUAGAAAUGCAAAUAGUAAUGUUGUUAGUUAAUAUGCAAUGUGCAGAGUGAGAGUUGCAAACGAGCUUGGAGCUGGGAAUGGAAAAGGAGCCAAGUUUGCUACUACAGUAUCUGUGGUAACAUCGGUUAUUAUAGGACUCUUCUUCUGGAUGUUGAUUUUGAUAUUGCAUGAUAAAUUCGGCUACAUAUUCUCCAAUAGCAAACCUGUCCUUGACCAAGUCAACGACCUUUCUCUUCUAUUAGCCUUCACAAUUCUGCUCAACAGUGUUCAACCAGUUCUCUCAGGUAUCUAUUGGUAGUUAAACUUUGAUUAGAAAUUGCAAAAUCAUGAAUGAAUGUUAUUCCCUUUUUGGAUGAUUUCAACAGGAGUGGCUGUAGGAUCAGGUUGGCAAUCAUAUGUGGCAUACAUAAACUUGGGUUGCUACUAUAUUAUUGGGGUGCCUCUUGGAUUUUUGAUGGGCUGGGUUUUCAAACUAGGAGUUAUGGUAUGUUUGUUGCCAUCUUUUUGUCUACUACUUUCUACACAUUUAUGCAGUUUAUUUACCCAGAAUAUGUGAAUUUCACAUGCAUUAACAUAUGAUUCUUACACAAUUUGGUAAUGAAAAUGAACAAAGGGAAUCUGGGCGGGGAUGAUUUUUGGUGGCACGGCUACUCAGACAUUAGUAUUGAGCAUCAUUACCAUUCAGUGCGACUGGGAAAAAGAGGUAAUUUGCUUAGUUUUUUUAUUCUUUUCAGUGGUGUUAAUGCUCCUCACUUUCAUUUAUCUAAUCUUAAUUCAGGCUGAGAUCGCAAAAAUGCGUUUAACCAAGUGGGCAGAUCCAAAACAGGAACUCAACUAACGUAUCUGCAUAUUUAUUUCAUCUGUAAUACUAAAACAACCAAUAUAGUCCACAUGUUGUCAGAAUAUAAAUCAAUUUAGUCAAAACAUUACACUGAUUAACUCAUUAUGGAUCGCAGACUAAAAUCAAACAAAGAACAAAAUGUCAAUUUUUAUGAUGUUUGGGAUUGUGUGUGACAUUUGUAUUUAUCAAUCAAGAUCCAGCAGCAUGAGUUGCUACUAAGAAUAUAAGCUUGGAAACUAACCAAUUUGAAAAGUAUAUAUAAUUCAAUUUAUACACCAAUGGAUCUUACCACCUAGUUUUACACGGUGCACAAUUACACUGAAUCGUUGUAAAAUAAGGAAAAAUGCUUGUAUGAAGAUGAGACGAGGUUAAUAACAACAAUUUUUUCAAAAAUAUUCUCUAUAGUAAGAGGAAAUAUUAAUAACAGAAGAAUAUAUUUUAAGUUUUUUAAAUAGUUUAUAAUUUUUUCUUGUUGCAUCUCUUUUUUAAAUAUGUAUGGAGAAAAAUUAUUGAAGAAUUCAAAAUUUGUAUAUAUAUAUUUUUUUUUAAUUUUACGUCAAUUAAAUCUUGAAUUAAUUAGUAGGAAAAUACUAGUUAUCGAAUAAAUAAUGUCCAUCUUAAUCAAGAGGCACUGAACAUAUUUUUCUUAUAAUAUAAUAAAAUGUGAAGAAACGAUAACUUAUUAUUCAUCUUUUUUUUAAGAGAAUUUUAUUAUUUACGAGAAAUUAGAAUAAAUAAUUCGUAUAAAGAAACAGUUUAGGAAUAAAAAACCUAUUAUAUUCUAAUUUCCCUAAAAUAAAUUAUUAAUAUAAUAUAAUUUUUAGUAUUGAAUGCUUAAACAAUCACUACAAGCAAAUCAUUAAAUAAAAAACUAAAUUUAAAGAUAAACAAAUAAUUAGUUGCUAUAAUGACUAAAUUAGAGACAAAAAUAAUUUUUUAUUUUUAAAUUAGUUUCUAUCAAAUAGUUUCUAUUUAACAAUAAUAGAAACUAAUUUAAAAACUAUUUAACAAUAAUAAAAACUAAUUUAAAAAUUACAAAUUUUUUUAAUCUCUAAAAUGAUCUCUAAUUUAGUAAAUAUAGUAACUAAUUAUUUUUUGUCUCUAAAAUUAAUUUUUAUUUAAUGGUUUUCUUGUAUUAAACAAACAUCAUUUAUUAAAAUUAUUAAUCACUUUUUUCUAAACUUUAAUAAGAAAAACUAUCAAUCACUUAUUUUAAAGUAGAAAAAUAGGCGUAUAACAUUAAGACAAACUUUUAUAACGAGAAUUGAUGUGAUCAAUUAUUUUUUUUUAUAAAUUUUUCAUAAUAGUCUUAUCUAAUUUCACACGAAUUAAAAUAUUUAUUAAAUUUAUUAAAAUUUUCUUUCGAUAAAAUAAAAGUACAUUUUCUUAAAUUUUUUAAUUAUAUUUAUUUAAAAUUUUAUACUUAUUUAAAUAUGAGAGUAUUUUUUAAAAAUAAUUUCAUUAAAAAACAAUGAAGUUCAAAUUUUGUUUAUAUUUAAAUCCCAUACAUAUGACUACUUUUUCUUGUUUACAUUUAAGUUUAGAGAGAGCACUCAAAUAAAAAUAUUUCAUUUAACACUGGUUAAUAAUGUUAAUUAAUUUCAUUUAAUGUUUAAAAAAAUAAAUUUCUUGAACUAUUUAAUCAUAUUUAUUUCACACGAAUUGCAUAUUAAAUUAACUUUAAAACGUUUUAAAAUAACAAUAUUAAACAAUGUCAAACUAAUUAAAUUUUGUUUAUAUUUAAAUUAUAACUUGUUUGUUAUAUUUUCUUUAAAAUAAUUACUUGUAUAUAAGUUUAGAAAAUAUAUAUGAUCUUAAAUCGUAUUAAAUUCAUAAAAAUACUAAUUAUCAUUAAUUAUUUAUGUUAAGAAACAACGACCAAGAAAUCUGGGCUAGGUUAAUUUUUUGUGGACCAUUAAUUGAGAUUGGGCCAUUGAGGUAUAUUACACACAAAAUAUAAACUUUCACAUUCUUUCAAAGAAAAAAAAAGUCAUUUUAUAAUUUAUUUUAAUAAUAUAAUGAUAUACAUUAAUAUUUUAAAUAAAAAAAUAAAAAAAAUAACUAAUAUAGUAGUAUGUUAGUUGUUAAGCUGCUUUUUUUUUAUAUCAGUGGGUCCUAAAAUAUCAUUUCUAAUGUUGCAUUUCAUUAAAUGGACCUAUACCUAUAACUCAUGAAGUACUUAUUGUUUUUUUUACUUUCAUAAAUUUUCGUAUUUUCAAAAAUAUUUUUCUAUAAUAUUUUGAAUUACAUAAUCUAAAAGUCUUUUUACAAAUUUAGCUAUCGAAUUAUAUAAUUUAAAAAAAAUUUAGAUGAAUGAUUAGUUUUUGAAUUACAUGAAAGAUUUUUUUUAGCUUCCGGAUUAUGUAAUUCAGAAUUUUUUUUUAAAUGCCUGUUAGAUUACAUAAACUGAAAACUACUCUAUGAAAUGACACAAGAAGAAUAAAAAGAUAUUAAAAAGAUAUAUGAGGUGUCAGAAGAAUAUAUGGAGAGGAAGAAAUAGUUAGUACUUGCUUUCCUUUUCAAAUGCACAUGCCCAGCAAAAGAAGAAUGAAUGGGCUUCUUGGUAGAGUUAGCUUAUCAUCAUGGAAAUUGCCUCAGCACCCAAUCAAUUUUUUUUUUUUUUAAUUUUCAAAAUUGUCAUUCAUUUCAGAAUUGAAAAUCCAGAAUUAAGAAAUAUAUUAUGAGAAAAAAAAAUCUAAAUAGUUUUUUAUAGUUCAGAAAUAAAAUUUUGAAAUAAAGUUGGAAAAUCAAAAUUCCAUUAAAAAAAUUCCAGAAUAAAAAAAAAUAUUUUAAAAAUAAAAUACGCUAAAAAAUGGAUUUCUGAAAUGUAUUUCAGAAAAAAAAUCUAAACAUAUUUUAGAAAAGGAAUUCUGAAAUCUAAAUAUAUUUCAAAAAUCCAAAUUAAAAAAUGUAUUUCGAAAUACUAAAUCCAGAAUCUCACCUAUCUCCUUUUAUUUAAAAACUAAAAAGGAAAUUUUAUCAUUUUACAUUGAAAACAUUGGAUGCAGGAAAUAAUUGCCAAUCGUCAUUCUCUAAUCACCUUCUUUAUUAGUAAACACCAAAUUAUUAGUUAAUAUUAUAAUUUUAAAUGAAAAUACAUAAAGUUGUAUUAAUAGUGGGCUUUGAACUUUGGAGCCCAAAUGUUCUUUUGAUUAACACUGCCCCUCUAUUGGGCUCGUAUGGGUGCAGACUGAUGGGCUCUCUUAUAGCUACUUAUAACUCCUUGUGGAUACAUACACACCAUAAGAUUACAAUCCUUGAGGAAUUUUGACUCGAUUGAGUGAGGAGUUAAUAUGACUAUAGGUUAAAUAAAUCUAAUCUACACUCUGAACUAAUAGAAAAUAUUUUUUAAUGACUCUUCAGUUAUUUAUAACUACAAAAAUUAAUAAAAACUACUAUUUGAAAAAGAAUAUUUGGCUAGAAUUUCUAAUUGCUUAAUUUUUGUAUCAAUGAAGAAAAUAACCUCCAAUUCUGAAACCAACACAAAUCGUGGUCCAAAUACUUUCAUAUCGAAAGAGUAUGGCAUUGGAAAUGCACGGCCCCGUUUGGAGAAAUCCUUAGAAGAAUGUGUUGUUUUGUAAAAUAUGGGAGAAAACGGUGAAAAGAAAAAGCAAGGUAGGUUAAAAAUGUGUAAGAUUUGAAGGUAUAGCAUAUGCAUGUGAGUUGUUAUCCAUAAAGAUGGAGGCAGAAAGAAAAAUCCUUGACAGAGGAAAGUGAUUUGGAAAUUGUAUGAAGAUAAUAUUUGGUAUGAUUAUAAAAAGGGAAAGUAGGCAUUGUUUGAGCAUAUUAAUUAAAAAGGAGAAAGAAUGGUUGAAAAUAGUGUGUAUGAGAAGAAUAGGUAAAGUGACAACAGUGGAUGGAGCUGACAGAGGUCACGUGUGCCAUAAAAGUUGAUUGGUAGAGUGUUUUGUCAUUGUUGUGUGAGCAACAGGUCCAUCUAUGUUUGCAUUGUUCACUGAAGGUUGGGGUAAUGCUCACAACACAUGUUGGGGUGUUCUCUAUGUUAGGCUUGUGGGUGCUCAAUCACACACCCACCAAUCACAUUCUCCACUCUUUUUCAACUCUUCUCUACACCUUCACUUUCUUAUUCCCUUACAAAUUCUUACUAUAACAUCAAAUCUAUUCCAAUUUUUUAAAUUCAAAAAUAUUUUUACCAUUUCACAAAAUUUACUUCUUACUUAUUUCAUACCAACAACAAUAUUGAUGGACGGUCAAUAGUUAUCAUCAUGUCCUGUCACAGUUUCUAAUAUCUCUUAGUGUCACGUCGCAAGUUUUAUCAACAUUAUAUAUAUAUUGACACUAAAGAAAAAAUCAACGUUAUUCCAAAAAUUUAAGAAUUAAACCUAAAAUCAGUCACAGUUGACAGUUUUACAAUUUUAAGAUAAUUUAAAAAAUAUCAGGAAACAUGAUUCACAUAUGGAAUAAGCAUGAGAAGGAAUUGGUGAGAUAAAAAGAAAGAGGAAGAAAGUGAUUAUGAAAAGGAAAUAGUUGGUAGAUAAUUAGUAGUUGCAUUAGAAAUUUGUGAAUAUCACAUGAAUGAAUGUGGUCCAAACUCUCAUCACCACAACUCCAUUAUCAAUAAUGAGAUUGGGAUAAGAUAAGUUCCUCAUAACCUCAAAAUGGGGAUAAAGACUUCAACAAACUACUUUGCCCAAAGCCCAAACACUUGCUAUUGCAAUUUUAACCUACUUUUUAUAAAAAUAACAAAUUAGGAUGAUUUAUAAUUAAAUAAUAUUAUAAAAUGUCUUACACGUUCAUCUAUUGAUAUUUAAAAAAAAAAUCAAACUUACCUCCAAAAUAUGGAACUAUUUUUCAUUGAUUAAUUAACCAUCAUCCAAGUGUUUUUUUUUUCUUCCUAUAUAACGUUUUCUGUUUAUAGGAUUUAUUCCAUUGCAAUUUAAGGCAGACACUGAACUAAAUUAAGGAGGGUAUGAGUCCUGUCGUGUUAAAAAUGGUUUACAUUUGAUUGUUAGCAUUAUUAUUAUUUGAAAAGACAAUUUCAUUAUUAUUAUCAUCAAUAUAAUAAUAAUGAGAAAGCUACUAUUCAUUAAGAUAUUUGUGAGAAAUGGUGCAGAACUUGUUUAGGGUGAAAAUCCUCCUCAAACUUGGAUAACUUUUGCUUAGAACAAAAUGAUUAAAGAUUUUGAAAUAAAAGGCAAAGGCAAAGAAGGUGAGAUAGAUUUUUUUGUUUGUUCAGAUUAUACUUAUCUCUUCUUCUUUCCAUUUUAACCUCUCUUUUCCUUUCAAAAGUUGGUGUGAACAAAUAGAUGGCAAUUAAUUAAAUUAAAAGCAAAAGCAAGAUCAUGACAAUUGACAUAUGUCAUAGUAUAACACUAGCUCUCGGUGGUUCAUACUGUCUUUUUUAACUUCAACAAAUUUUGGUCUGCAUUUAAUUUUGAUUUUCAUACAAUUCACUUAAAUAAUUCAAUGUCAUUACAAUAAUUAAUUUUAAACUAGUGUAUGAGAUAUUUAAAUUGUUUACCUUGUCGUUACUUAUUGUCUUAAGAGUCGGCGGAAAAAAACUAAAUAUAUCAUAGAGACUAAAGAAAUGUAGUAUUUUUAUCAAAACAAAAGUUAUAGAGUAAUGUAUCAUAAGAUCACAAGUUAAAAGAAUAGUUAAGGACAAUUAAGUAACCUCGAAAGAUUGAAUAUUACAUACAUUAUUUAUAAACUAAAAGUAUAUGACAUAUGUCAAUUGAUAAAAGAUAAAAUAAAAAAAGUAUAUGACAAAACUAAAAAUAAAACUACAUCAUAAUAUACAAGUUUAAUCAUAUUUUAAUUCUGAAAUUUGAAAUAAAUCCUUUAUAAUUCCUAAACUUAAAAGGGUUUAGUUUAGUUCCUCAAAGUCUAUAAAAUAUUACUUUAAUUUUUAAACAAUAAAUUUAGGGAUUGAAAAUAAUUUUAAAAAAUAUAUAUUUUCAAUAUCUCAAAUUUGGUAUUUUAUAGUUUAAAUUAUAUUUUUUUAAAUUUUGAGGAGAUAGAUGGUUUUUUUCUAAUUUGGAGACCAAAAUUAGAAUUAUAUUGAACUUUAAGAUUAAAACAAAAUUAAAUUUAAAUUAUGUGAAUCAAUAUCUUACUCUCAAAUGUUUUUAUUUAUUUAAUUUGGUUUUAUCAAAUAAAUUUUUAUUUAAAAAUUAUAAGUAAACUUUACUAAAAUAUUUUAAUAAGAGUUUAUAAGAUUUCCAAUAAUUAUUUUCACAAACCUAAAUAAUUUUUCUAAAAUACCUGAUUAAUUUAUAAAUUAUUUAAAAUUCUUUAGGUUACUAUCUAUAAAUGGAAUAAUAACAUGUGUUUCCCUAGUAGAAAAAUGGAGACUCGCCAUCAGAAUUAAAAAGUUGAUUCCUAAGUAUUCCGUCAAUGGCCUCAUUUCUUUAAAUAUAUUUUUUUUAAUAUUAUAUGCAAAAUUAUUUUUUAUUAUAGUCUAAAUUUUAUAUUUCUUGUACUUAAAUAAGUCCUAAUGUAACAAAUGAAUUUUGGUGAAUCAUAAUAUUAAAAUAUUUUAUGUUGAUUUAUUGAUGUAUAUAUUAUAAUAUUAUAAUAAUUUACGUUAGAAUAGUUUGCUAUGUAAAUGAAAACAUUGAUAAAAACUUAUUUUAUUAAUUUUUUUACUAUAAAUAUCUAGAAUAGCUCAAAUUGAACUAGCAGCACUCAAAAGUAUAUGACAAAAAAUAUAUUUAACAACAAAAUAGUGUAGAUUUAUAAAUAAUUACAGAUGUAGAGUUUGGUUUCAAAUUAAUGCAAAAUAAUCACAAAAGUGGUAAUAUUUUUUAUUAUGAUGAGAAGAAAAGACGUUAUAGAUAGAUUCAUUGAUUGAUGAUAUGCAUAUAAAGAAGGUCCUUUCUAGCAUUGAAAUAUAGUAAAUAACGGUUGGGAGAUAAUCUCAUACACUUUAAAUCAUUUCCUUCUUUGCUGCUGAUUGAACUUUCUGGCAAUCGAAUCAGAAAAAGUGUGAAAUUGAAGCGCACCAAAUGGUAGGUUACAUGAAUUUUGAUGUGAAAGAACAGGUUUAUGUAGUUAUUUAAAAAAGGGGAACAUGAUAAUUAACUAAAUUAGUGAACUAAUGAUAAAAUAAAAAGCAUAAAGGAUGGUGAUAUCACCUUUUGUUUAUGUCACUCAAUUAUUAUUAGCUAAAGCUGAGACAUAUUUUGUCGUCUCACAUUCAUGCUGCCUAAUCCAUGCUUCGCACGCCAAAGGUUCGGGAAACCAGUUUACAUAAUACUCAUCAUUUUACCAAUUACAACUAAUUCAUUCAUUGUCAUAUCUUAAGCUUCCUAAUUUUCACUAAUUCUAUAAACCAGCUAUUACUCUCUCAUUAAUUCGUCACCCCACCAAUCAAUUAAAAUUACUGAUCUUUCUCCUCUUUCUUUGCUGAUAAAAAAAAAACUGAUCUUUCUCCUCCCAAAUAUAAGAAUAAUUUCACAUCAUACUAUUA